rnacentral:lncRNA from 1 species
AUCAGUGGAGCGUGUGUGGUUAACCGAAACACUAACCUGGACUUAAUAAGGUAGGCAAAGGGUAACUUAAUAUUUAUCAUAGUAUCGAUGGAGCGCGUGUGGUUAACCGACACAUCGAUUGAGGGGUAAAUAUUAAGGGUACCAAGUAGUUUUCAUGGUUACUUCACACAUUGUUUUGUGAUCAUCGGCAUCCCAGUCACAAAACCUGAAGGGCACACUCGAGAUUGAAACAUGCCAUUGAAAAGUUCAAUGAAUCUCAAAGAAUCUAGGAGUUUCAAAACUAAUUAAAACCUAAUAAUUUAUUUCGUUUUUCAUGGUGGAAAUUGGUGAAUCGUCAUUCACCUACCUUCAAAUAUUUUAUAGAUUGGAUUACGACAUCCCUCUUCUAAGUUAUAAAAUAUUGUGUUGGGUCCUAGCCUUAAUAUUACAUUUGGGUCUUUUAUUAAGAACUAUCUUUAUAUCUAAACUAAACUUGUCUUUCUUUUUCAAAUGUCUUCCAACAACGCUGCUUCUGGCUCAAACCCUACCUGCUCCUUCUCUUUAAUGAACCUCUGUGGGAGAGUCAUCUUUGACGGAUCCAACUUUAUGGAUUAGAUCAGAAACAUCAGGAUGGUCACUGAGUAUGAGAACAAAUAAUAUGUACUCGACAAGGAGCUUAAGGAACUUGAGUCAUCUGCUACUCCUGAGGAGAUCACUGAAUAUCAGGCACAUGAAAGAGAUGCUAUCAAAGUGGCAUGUAUCAUGUUGGCCACUAUGAAAGUCGAGAUCCAAAAGUCCUAUGAGGACUACUAUCCUUUUGAGAUGCAUCAGGAUUUGAUGGACCGCUACCAUCAGAGUACCUGUUAAGAGCAAUAUGAAAUCAUCUAUCCAUGAUAACAACCUAGAUGAAGGAUGGUGAACCCAUCACGGGCCACAUGUAGAAAAUGCAAAGGUGCAUGGACCGUUUGAUGAAACUGAAUGUGAACUUCCCAUAGGUGUUGGCAAUAGACAUCAUUUUGCACUCCUUACCUUCAUGUUAGGAUCAGUUCUGUAUGACAUACCACAUGAACAAGGAGUAAGUCACACUCAGAAAACUUCAAGGACUCUUGAAGACCGCAGAAACUGGUCUUAAGAGUAAAUCGGUUGUUACCACUCCUACUCCUACCACGGCCUCUAUCUUCGCAAUCGGGCAAGGAAAAGGGAAGAAAAGGAAUAUCCCUUCAAAGGGUAGCAAGGGGAAGACCCUUGAUGGCCCCUUUUCAAGUGGAACCAACAAAGGUUUUGUCACUCCUUCUGCUAACCCUAAAGAGGCUGAAUGCUUCUAUUGCCAUGAAAAGUGGUACUGGAAGUGAAACUGCCCAAAGUACCAACAACAUGUUAAGGAUGGGAACGUGAAACCCAACCAUGCAGGUACAUACACUAUAUUGUCUAAUAACUCACCCCAUUCAAAUUCUUCGGUGCUUGAUACAGGUUGUGGUAUUCACAUAUGUACUGAUUUGCAGGGACUAAGAAGAAGUGAGAAUGUGGAGCAUGGAAAGAUAAACUUGAUCAUGGGGAAUACGAAAGCAUCACCUGUCACCAACAUUGGAGUUUAUUCUUUGUUGCUAAGUAGUGGAUUAGUAUUAGAUUUGAAUAAGUGUUGUUACUCGUCUGAAAUAGCGAGAAAUAUUAUUUCCUUUCAUGGUUUGUACAAACAAGGUUGUACCAUUUCAUUUGAUAAUGAUAGUAGUGGUAUUAAUGCUUUCUUUACUAAUGUUUUUUAUUUUUAAGCAUUACCUUGUGAUGGUGUAUAUGAAACUGUUUCGGUUGUUGAUAACCUAGGAAAUAAUGCAUUGUGUAUCGAUUCUUCUGCUAGCUUGGAUAAAGCAUCAUUAUGGCACUGUUGUCUUGGACAUGUAAGCAAAAAUGCAUAAGCCAACUCCAAAAGGAUGGAGUCCUGGAGUCGUUUGACCUAAAGUCAGAUGACAGCUGUGAAUCUUGUUUGCUUGGGAAAAUGACAAAGUCACCCUUUACUGGUACUUGUGCUAAGGAUCAGGGUUUGUUGGAACUCAUACAUGCUGAUGUGUGUGGACCCUUCAUAACCACCACAAAAGAUGCUAAUCGCUUCUAUGUGACUUUUACUGAUGAUUUUAGUAGAUAUGGAUAUGUGUACUUAAUCAAGCAUAAGUCAGAGACCUUUAAAAGAUUCAAAGAGUUCAAACAGGAAGUGGAGAAUCAGUUGGGCAUGAACAUUAAGAUGCUUCGAUCUGAUCUAGGUGGUGAGUAUCUUAGUACAGAGUUCCUUGACUAUCUUAAGGAAUGUAGGAUUAUCUCAUAAUUGACACCUCCCAGGAAACCACAGCUUAAUGGUGUGGCUGAGAGGCGCAAUCGAACCUUGUUGGAUAUGGUUCGUUCAAUGAUGAGUCGAGCUUCGCUACCAAUCUCAUUCUAGGGGUAUGCCUUAGAGAUUGCCACCCAUAUCCUUAAUCUAGUCCCUACAAAGAAGUUUUCCAAAACACCUCAUGAGAUGUGGGCCGGAAAAGUUCCCAAUCUGGACCACAUCAAGAUUUGGGGUUGCGAGGCUUUCAUGUGGCACGGGUCUCACGAUAAGCUCGAACCUCGAAGUGAGAGGUUUAUUUUCAUCAGCUACCCACAGAGAUCCUUUGGUUACCUCUUCUACAGACCCAGUGAUAAUGUGGUCUUUGUCGCAAGGAGAGGAGUCUUUCGUGAGAGAGACUUCAUGAGCCAAGGAAACAGUGGGAGGCAAACUGACCUUGAAGAAAUUCAAGAGUGAAGUGGUGAUGGAACCUCAAACCCUAGCCAUCAACCUGAGGCGGAAACUCCUGUUGAUCUGACAGAAGAGUAUGUACCUCUGAGGUGUUCCACGAGAGUUAGGAAUGCACAUGAGCAUUACGAUGGAUUCCAUAUUAAUACGGAAGGUGAUACACUUAUCAGUGAUAUCAUACUGGUAAGUCUUGAUAAACCUAACAGCUACACGGAAGCCAAUCAAGCCAUGGCAGGCCCGGAGUCUGCUAAAUGGAAAGAGGCUAUGUACAGCGAGAUACAAUCCCUGUAUGAAAAUCAAGUUUGGAACUUGGUUGACAAUGUACCACGUCCGAAGACAGUUGGGUGCAAAUGGGUCUUCAAGAAGAAGACUGACAUGGAUUGUAAUGUACACACUAAUAAGGCAUGAUUGGUUGCAAAGGGCUUUUCUCAAACUACGGGAGUUGAUUAUGAUGAGACCUUUUCACCAGUAGCAAAGAUUAAGUCUAUUAAGGUUAUGUUAGCAAUUGCUGCGUUUCAUGAUUUUGAAAUAUGGAAAAUGGAUGUUAAAACUGCUUUCCUUAAUGGAGAGGUGGCUGAGGAUGUUUACAUGAGUCAGCCAGAGGCUUUUUUCAGCACAAAGUACCCUAAUAGAGUGUGUAAGCUUGAAAAAUCCAUCUAUGGGUUAAAGCAAGCACCUCGCAGAUGGAAUCUUUGUUUCGAUGAGAAAGUCAAAGAGUUUGGCUUUUCGAGGAGUAAAGAUGAAUCUUGUGUAUAUUUCAAGGCUAGUGGGAGUACAGUUAGGUUUUUGCUAUUAUAUGUGGAUGACAUACUACUCAUAGGAAAUGACAUCCCAACUCUGCAGGAAGUGAUGUUCUGGCUUGGGAAGUGUUUCACUGUGAAGGACCUUGGAGAAGCUGCCUAUAUCCUAGGGUUAAGGAUUUUGAGAGACAGUAGUAAAAGACUAGUUGGACUUAGUCAGAGUACCUACUUGGAGAAGGUGCUGAAUAGAUUCAGCAUGCAGAAUUCCAAGAAAGGAGAGUUACCAAUCCAGAGUAACAUAGACUGAGUAAGACUCAAUGCCCGAAUACAGAGGACGAGAUUGUAAAGAUGAGUCGAGUACUGUAUGCUUCCGCUGUAGUCUCGAUCAUGUAUGCUAUGACUUGUACUCGUCCUGAUGUGGCCUUUGCAUUAAGCAUGGUCAACAUAUAUCAAGGGAAUCCUGGCAAGGCUCACUGGACUGCGGUAAAGAACAUUCUCAAGUACCUGUGGAGGACUAAGGACCGGGUCCUUACCCUCAGUGGGAGUGAUGACUUGAGAGUAUUGGGGUAUAGUGAUGCUAGCUUUCAAAUUGAUAGGGAUGAUUUCCGCUCUCAGUUAGGCUAGGUCUUUACCUUAAACGGAGGAGUUAUUUCUUGGAAAAGUUCCAAGAAGGAGACAGUGGUUGAUUCAAAUUACGAAUGAGAGUAUAUAGCAGCAAGCGAGGCAGCAAAUGAGGCUAUAUGGCUAAAGAACUUCAUUGGAGACCUUGGAGUUUUACAAGCUAUAAAGGAGCCUAUAAAGAUUUUCUAUGGUAGUGAAAGUGCAGUUGUCUUAGCAAAGGAACCAAGGGAUCACGGGAGAUCCAGACACAUCGACAGAAAAUAUCAUUUCAUCAGACAUCGAAUAGAAGAAGGACUCCUCGUGGCAAAGAGGGUAUCAUCAAAUGAGAACCUGACAGAUCCCCUUACGAAGGGACUGGGUAGGGUUAAGCAUCUCCAACAUGCAAGGUGCACAGGGCUGAAGGAUGAUAUUAGUUUUAGUAGUUACAUAUCUUUGAAAUGUUUAAAGUGUAAUUGACAUUUGACGAUGAAUAAAAGUUGUGUUUAUUUAUGAUUAAAGUGUUGCUAUCUUUUGUCAAUCAUUUACUAUCGUUUCAAUUUGCAUGUUUUGACUUCCAGAAUAAUUAUGUUAUGUUAUUUCAUAUUAUUCAAAUUGUCCACAGUCGGUCAUAUGUUGGAAGUAGAUAUGAAUCAAGAUUGUCAUGUAGUUGGUUGUAGAUGUAUAAGGCGUUGGACAUUGCAAAGUGUUGCUACAAAACUCAUGAGUGCUCAUAAGUUCUGAGUAUUGGAUUCAACCCACACUCACUCGCAUCACUUCAUGGAAUUUAUCUCGAGUGAUCGUGAGACGGUAAUAUCAUAUAAGUCUUCAAACCCAGAGAUAUGAAUUAUUGCCUAUGAGUUGGUUAUACAUUGAUUAUACGAAAACGCGUUGGUAAAUUGAUGUUAUAAAAUGUGCCUUUGUGUAUGAUUCAUGAAGUAGUAGAACAAGCAUAUGAGUCGAAGUUUAUCUGUUCCUUAUUGGAUUAGAAGCGAUAUCUGGGCCCCUCAAUGAUUUUGUGUUGACCCAUGUACCGGGCCCGGUCAGAACUAAGUUGACGUGUUCAAUUAAGUUCUCUGUCAAACAAAUUGGAAAUCAAGAAACAAACUGUUGGACAAUAAGUAAGAAAUUGUUCCAUGUAUUUGUCCAGCUAAUAUCUAGAACAGAGGAUUAUAUGACCACUUAUCUUAAAUGGCGUAUCAUCAUCAUCUCAGUUCCGAGUGACCUUGAAAGAGCUAUGAUUGUAGAUCGGUUCCUGAAGUCAUUCUUGCAGUUAUAGUUACUAGACAUAUCCAUGUGGGAGACUGUUGGAUUAGGUAUCUAAGUUCAUAACUAUUUCUGGAAUGUACUAGACCCGAUUAGCAUGGUCCAUUUGGGUUGCAUGGCAUUGCAACACUUGAAUAGACUAAAUGAGAGAAAGGACACUAAAGGAUUAUUAAUAUAUUAUAAGUUGUAAUAUGUUAAUAAUAUUAUUUAAUUAGUAUUGAUCAAAGAAUUAAUUUGGAAUUAAUUAAGUGAUAAAAAAGAGACUAAUUAAAUAUAUGGGGAUGAUUGUGUAAAUAAUCUAUUCUUAUAUAGUGAUCUAAUGAUCCAUGGUUUGUAUGGAUUGGGCUAAAACCCAUAAGGUACUCCAUGGAUAAUCCAUGGAGGUUAGAAACUCAUGGAUCAUGUAAUAUGAAAAUCCAUGACAAUUUGGGUUUACUUGGUGUAACCUUACUUGUGCCACAACUAUAUAAGAAGUUCCAAGGCAAGAAAAAUCGGCCACUAAGUGAAGAACAAUAGGGUUAUCCGAUUUUGAGGUGUUAGUGAACUUCUCUCAAGUCUAUUCCAAGAGUUGUAGUGUUGUGUGAGACAUUUGAGGAAUCACACUUGAGGUGCUAGGCUCAUAAGGAUCUCAAGGAAUCCAAACUACAAAAGGUAUGUUCUUCUUCUAUCAUUUAGGUUUAAAAUUUCCCCAUGGUAUUCUAGAUAGGUUAAGAUCCUUGGAAAAUCAAAUUUACAUGUAUCAUAGUAAAACAUAGAAUCAAGGUUUCUAGGGUUGCAUGUACACCUUAGGAGUGUGAGAAAGCUCAUAACCAAACAAACAUGUCCGUGUAGUCCUGCAUGAUUGGUACAUCAUCCACAUUCGCCUUACCCUUAUCUGGGUAUCCAUAAAAUGUUGGAUUAGUGUCUAAGUCCAUAACUAUUUUGGUAUGUACUUGACCCGAUUUUGAGCAUGGUCCUUUUGGGUUGCCUUCACCAUAGCAAUAUGUAGGAUGAAUUAAGGAGAGAGAGGUUUAAAUAUGAUUUAUUAAUAUAUUAUGAGAAUAAUAUAUUAAAGGAGAAAUCAUAUUGUUUAAUUAAUAUUAGUCAAGAAUUAAUUGAUAAUUAAUUUUGUGGCUAAAAGAGAUUGAUUAAACUUAAGGGACUGGACUGCAAUUAUUGGAUAAUUGAGUUAUUGGGCUAAGGAAUGCUAAAGGAUCAAGGGGUGAACGAAAUUAUGAUGGAAGCCCAUCAUAUUUUCGUCCAUGGCCUUAUCCAGAAGGUUCCAUGGGCUGCUUAGAGUUUAAGUUGUCCAUUAGGGUUUUGACUAAAACCCUAGCAGCCCACACAAGUAUAUAAAGGACCCCUUAGGCCCCAAAAACGUGGACAACUGAUUCUCUAGGGUUUCUAGUCGUUUUUGGGCAGCCUCCUUUCUUCUCCUCUUCAUCCAAGUUGCAUAAGGUGUUUGUGACUCCAUUAGAGGUGCAGCACUUGAGGCACUAAGCUUUCUAAGGCCAAUCCAAGCAAGGAAUUGAUUGUUAUUGCUAUAUAACAAUCAAAGGUAAUUCUCUAAACCCUAAUUCAGUUUAUAAUAUGUUAGAUCUAAGUUUGUUAGUCUUGGAUUCAAAGCAUGUACAAUAGAGAAACCUAGAUCCAAGCAUUAGGGUUUGUAUGAGCACAUAGGAUUGUUCUUAUGCCUAAAACCCAUCAGUGGUAUCAGAGCCUUGAUUGGUUUCAGUUGUAUGUGAUGCUUAACUGUUUUGUUUGCUUAAAAUCGAGUUUUUGGCCUCUGCCCGACUCAACUCGGCGAGUCAGUAUCUGGACUCGGCGAGUUGGCCCUACUCGGCGAGUCCAGGUCUGACUCGGCGAGUCAGUGCGUCAGGCAGAGGGUAUUUCGGGAUUUAGCUGCUGUUUUGACUUGGAUUUGAUGCUUAAAUUGUUUUAUGAAGUUAAAAUCCGAAUUUUAUCUUAAUUAUAUGUUUAUCCUUGCCAAAACAAUAGAUAAUUUCAAAUCUUUUAAAUAUUGGUUGUUUAUGUGAUAAAUAUGGAUUAUUUAAAGUUAUUUGGUAAUUAUCUAAUGACUAAAAUAAGAUUAGGUCAAAUAUAGAUAAUUAUGAAAUUAAUUGUUUAAUUUGAAUUAUUUGUUAUUUGAUCCCUAAUGUUUUGAAAUGUUUCAAAACUUGCCCUCAAGUUUUGGAAUUUAAAAGUUGAUUAAAAGUUUAAUUUUGAAAUGUUAAAUUCUAAAACCCUAGUAAUUUGAAAAGUUCAAAUCACACCCUUAUGGUUUUAUUAAUUAAUUAAAGUGUAUAAUUAAAAGUGAUUUAAUAAACCCAUAAAGUUUUGGUUUACAUUUAAUUAAAUUAAAAGUAUAAUUUACUAAGUUAAACCACCUAGUAUUUUAAAAGUGUAAAAUACACCCUAUACUAUAUAUAACAUUAAAAGUCUAGUAUUAUAUAUGUAUGAGUAAACAGUCAGUCUUACCGUUAGUAGGCCUCAUUCACGAAGCUGGUCUAUAAGGGGUGUUUAAGGAAAUUGCCUAUAAAAUGGCGAUUGAAUGGGUAUCCACUCUUACCCACCGCACUCUUGACUAGUGGAGGGUCGUUAGCCGAACGGGUAGGAUAGGACAGAAACCUUCCAUUAUAAGUAUAAUGAAGUACAAAGUAACUAAAUGCUUUUUCAAAUUCCCAAAUCAUAGUUACUUUAGGAAAAAUGUGAAAUUGUAUGCUAAUCCAUAGAAUUACACUUCGUACCCCUGUCAAACGUUAGUGGAGCGUGUGUGGUUAACCGGCACACUAAUUUGGGGAUGACAUUGGUAGCGAAGGGUGACUCGAUGUUUGUCAUAGAUCAAUGGAGCGUGUGUGGCUAACCGGCACAUUGAUUAGGUGAUAGUAGCAUUGGGUGCACCACGUGAUUCGUAUGGUUAUUCACACCUUGUUUGUGAUCCUCGGCAUCCCAGUCACAAAUAGUAGGGCAUAAUCGAGAUUAAACAUGCCAUUGAAAAGUUCAAUGAAUCUCAAAAGAUCUAGGAGUUUCAAUUCAUUUAAAACUUAAUCUUCCUUUUCGUUUUUCAUGGUGGAAAUUGGUAAAUCGUCAUUUACCUACCUUCAAAUAUUUUGCAACUAGAUUACGGCAUCCCUUUUCUAGGUUGUAGAAUAUUGUGUUGGAUCCUAGCUUGAUGUUUCAUUUGGGUGUUACAUCAAGAAUUCUAAUCAACAUAACUUGAAUUUUCUCCCGUUUUGUAGAUGUCUGAAUCUUACAAUGGUCUUCCCAAAUCCUUUGGAACAAGCUUUCCAAAUGAAGAUGACGUUCCGAGAUACGAUCAAGGAAAUGAGAGUCAUGCUUCACUUCCUCCACCUCCUCCAAUUGUUCUCCCUGACCCACAAGUUCAAAGGCUUGAAAAGUUCAAGCUCACUCAAGCCCUUUUGGCAAGUAAACACGAAGAUGGGAAACCUGUGUGUGCACACGUCUUAGAGAUGAAGUCACACAUUGAUAGGUUAAGCAUGUUGGGUGUCGAGAUUUCAAGCGAGUUGGCUGCUGACUGGGUUCUUCAGUCACUUCCUGAAUCAUAUAGUGAGUUCGUUAGAGAGUACUAUAUGAUGGAUCACGACGUGACCCUCAUUAAUCUCACCUAUUUGCUUAUAGCUGCUGAAUCAGCAAUGAUUUGGCGUGCUGGUCAAGCAAACUUGUCUGGUGAAUCAAACUCCCAAACUUCAAUGGACACUGGCAACAUUGGAAGUCCAGAAAGAACUAAGUCUGUGAUUGUCCGAUGUGCUGUGCCAAAGGAGUCCAUUUGCUUUUAUUGCCAAGAGAAGGGGCAUUGGAGACGAAGCUGCCCUAACUACCUGAGAGAUCUAAGAGAUGGGAGAGUCAAGACGUAUGGCUCUGCUUCAGGUAAAAUCCAUUAUCUAACUCUUUUGAGUUCCUAUUCUAGAUUCUUAAUACAUGAUGUGAUAAGAUUACAUUUUGAUGUUUUGUAGGAUCGAAGAAAAGAGAGGAAGCUUGAGGGAAGAAGUGAGCUGAAUCUAAUCAUGAAGAAAUGGAUUUCGAUCGCAUUACUUGAAGAAUGGAUUCUUGAGCUACUACUUGGAGUUAGAAUAGAUUGUUAAGAAAUAUGUAAUAACAUAGUUUUUCAAUUGAAUUGCAUUGUAAGGACAAAUUUUUUCCGCAAUAAAAUGAAUUUUGAUUUUAUCUUAUUUAUUUAUCCUUGCAAUGGCAUGUAUGAAAAAAUUAAUGUUUGAAUGUUUCUAUUAUUAGCAAUAAUGGAUUUGAUUCUUAAUUAUGUUAUUUGUGGAAAUGUCAAAAGUUUACCAAAUAGGGAGAGUUUCUCAUCGCCCAAGUUUCAAUUGGACAGAAACUUGGAAUCAUGCAAUGUGUAUUGUAUGAUGAAUGAAAAACUUUCACAUUUGGGAAACUUAGACUAAUUCUUUGACAAAGUGUCAAUUGAAGGACUAGGAGAUCAAGUACACUAGGUUGUGCGUUGAUCAAGUCCACCACAAGAGUGACAAAGAUAUUCGUCAUGAUUUACUAAAGUUUAGUAAAUAUGAUUAUACUUAUAAGAUUAAGUGUAAUUCUGAGUUGAUUGAAAGAGUUUCAAUGAAUAGUAGAACGAAUAAAGAAGAAUCAAGUAGGCAGAAAGAUAAAAGUUUCUCUAUUCUAAGAAGAAGGGAGAGUACCUUUUAUUGUGUUUUAUGAUAAGUCUUAAUGAUUAAGAACCAUGUCUCAAUUGAUCCUCUAAGUGAGUCUUAGUGCAAUUGCAUGUCUAAGAAGAGGAAUCGAGAAUUGUAGAAAUGGUUAAAUCAAAGAGUCAAUCAUACUUCGUUCCAAUAUCAAGUCUUAGAGUCAAGAUUGUGACAUUGAGUGAAAAGUCUUAAGUAGGUUUAUAACACUCAUCAAAUGUGGAAUUUGGAAAAGUUUUCUUAUUCUUGCACAUUUGAAAUUGGUAAGUUGUGCUGUCUUGGAUAAGACAAAGACCAACUAGGACCAAUUGUGUGAAGUGUUUUGUCUUGAUAAAUGCUUCACUAACUAUUGAAUAUUUGUUUGUCAAGAAAUGUUUCUUGACAAGAGAAUCUUAUAUGUCAAGAAGUCAGUGGGAGUCUUAAUGGUCUUGAAAAGGUUUCAAGAACAAAUCAAGAAUAAACCUUAUCGAUCAUCACUAGCACACGACUUGAGGUUUACAACCUAUCGUGCUGACAUUGUUUUGUUUCUGUGCCAUUCCAAUUGAGUUAAUUGUGUAUAUGAGUUCUAUGAGUUCUCAUUUGAAUACACACUAAAGCCUUAGUCGAUGGAAAGUAAAUUGAUAUGUAAGGACAAGUUACUAAACUACUUGGAAGGCGUGGUGGGCACUCGUGUUACCAUAGGGCAAGAAAUCAAGAUUAAGAAAGUUCAGUCCAUAUGAGUUUGGAUUUGUCGCAAACCUUGUUUUUGGCAAAUUCACAUGGAUAGGAACUCAUACACCAUAAAAUCUAAGUGUCAUAAGAUUCCCUCCUUCAUGAAAAUGACUGUGAGGAAAUGCUUUCACUAAGAGAGAUUUUAAGAAGAUAGCAAUUGUGAAAAUUGUAUUCUCAAAUUCGAUUAUGGUUACGGCAUCCCUUUCCAUAGUUCGAAUUGUGAGAUUUGGCAAUUAGUUUCAACAUUUGGAACUUAGUAACAUAAGUUAUGAAUUGUUUAAACACACAUAUGAGCUAUCUAAGGCAAAGGUGUAUAAGGUUAAGAAGCUUAGAUAAAGGCUUAUCGAAGCAUCUGGUAUUAGAAAUAUGAAUUUCAGAAAUUCAAUAGGCAUUGUUUUCUGGAAGUUCAUUUGUUUUCUGAAUACAUGUCAAAGCUAGUGGGAGCAUAAGUGUUAUGCUUAUAUGAUAAUAAUCAUCAUGAUAGUGGGAGCAUAAGUGUUAUGCUUGUAUGAUUAUUAUGGCGAGUAUUGCAAGUUAGCAAUAUUAAUUAUAGAAAAACAAAGAUUCAAUUUGCAAAGUUGCAUGGGUUGAAAAGUUGUUUUGAUAUAAUUAAGGGAGAGAAUAUUAUACUUCGUUUCAAAAUCUAAAGCUUAGAUUGAGAAAUUUUAAUAGUUUCAGUCAAAGGAUACAUUGUGAGUUCUUAAAAUUCGAUUAUGAUUACGGCAUCCCUCUUCAUAGUUCGAAUUAUGAGAACAUGACACAUAAAAUAUUAUGGCAAAAGAUUGAUAAAGUAUCAUAUCUUUAUGUAAAACAUUAUGCAUCGUGUCCCAUACGCUUCGGGUAUAGGAUCGAUUGCAAAUGCUAUAAUAUUUUACCAUUCUAAAAUUUUCCAAAUGUCUAGUGCAUUAAGGAGGGAAAAGGACUAGAAUUGGUUUUGACUAAAAUAAUUAAACAACUAUCAAAGGACGAUCCAAAGUUCGCUGAGGAUUGGUCGCUUGUGAGUAGUUGGAAGUAUGGUAUUGGAUGGACCAUAUCGACAUUACUAUGAAUAGAUAAGAUUCUAUCAAGAAUGAGUUGUCAUAUGGCAAAUGUGGAAAUGUUUCCAUAUUGGGAGUUGGAUAUUGAGAUUCUGUGUCUAGAUUAGAAAACUUUAUGCAAGAAGGAUGUUCAAAGGAAUGCACUCUGAAUGUGAGACUUCAUGUCUAUGGAAUUGUCUUGUAACAAUUUCUAAGAAAGUACUUUGUAAUUUCAUUAGCCAAGUCUUGGUGACUUUUGUGCUAUGACUUUACGAAAGGAUCGUUGCGUAAAAUGUUAGAAUCUAGCAUAUUCUAGUAGUGGCAAGAACCUUGUGUUCUUACACUAACAAUGGGGAUUAAGGAAUUGUGAAAUGAGAAUCAUUGGAAAAGUUUUCAAUUGAUCUAUUUCACAAAGCAUGGACCAUAGGAAACAAAGUGUGCAUGCUUAGAGCAUGGGACAAUUGUAGUUGUAAUUCAAGUAAUGAGUUGAUUAUCCGAAACUUUAAAUAAUAAAUAAUGAGUAAUCAAUAUGGUGGAUAAAUAGAGGUGUUUUAUUUACUCUCACAAGUUUGGGGCCAGAUAGGAUGAAGUACUAUUGUUAUGUUUCAGUUUGCAUGUUUUGACUUCCAGAAUAACUAGGUUAUUCAAACAUCCACAGUCGGUCAUACGUUGGGAGUAGGUAUGAAUAAAGACUGUCAUGAAUCUGUCUGUAGAUUGUCUGAAGUGUUUAGACAUAGCACAAGUUUGCUGCAGAGUUCAUGAGUGCUUUGAUAAGAUUAGAGUAUUGGAUUAAACCCACGCUCACUUGGAUCACUUCAUGGUUUUAUCACGAGUGAUUAGUGAGACGAUAAUAUUGUAUAUUCUUGAAACCGAGACGUGUGAGUUGUUAUUUGUUGGUCGGUUGCACAUUGAUAAUAAGUAAACGCACCAGUAACUUGGUGUUAUAAAACUUAUUGUUGUGUGUGAUUCGAUCAGUAAAUGCAAGCGAGCAUUUGAGUCGAAGUUUAUCCAUUCCUUUUACCCAAAGUGGGAUAAAAGCGAUAUCUGUGGGCCUCUCGAUGAUUUAGUGAUGACACCUAAGCGCUUGGCCAAGCCGGGACUAAGUUGAUGUGUUCAAUUGUAGUCUGUUAUCAGUCGUCAUAAAUCGGAAGUCGGGAAACAGUAUAGAGAGAAUGAUUGAAAUUCAUGUCUUUUGUCUAUACGAUAUCUUGAGAAUGGAGGAAUAUAUAAUCCCUUAUCUAGAGGACACGCUAUCUGAUAAGAUCAGAGUUGACAGCGGCUUUUGAAAGCUACGAUUGCUGAUCAGGUUCUGAAGUCAUACGGAAAAUAGUUAUUAGACUUAUCCAAGUGGGAGACUGUUGGAUUAGUGUCUAAGUCCAUAACUAUUUUGGUAUGUACUUGACCCGAUUAUGAGCAUGGUCCUUUUGGGUUGCCUUCACCAUAGCAAUAUGUAGGAUGAAUUAAGGAGAGAGAGGUUUAAAUAUGAUUUAUUAAUAUAUUAUGAGAAUAAUAUAUUAAAGGAGAAAUCAUAUUGUUUAAUUAAUAUUAGUCAAGAAUUAAUUAAGAAUUAAUUUUGUGGCUAAAAGAGAUUAAUUAAACUUAGGGGACUGGACUGCAAUUAUUGGAUAAUUGAGUUAUUGGGCUAAGGAAUGCUAAAGGAUCAAGGGGUGAACGAAAUUAUGAUGGAAGCCCAUCAUAUUUUCGUCCAUAGCCUUAUCCAGAAGGUUCCAUGGGCUGCUUAGAGUUUAAGCUGUCCAUUAGGGUUUUGACUGAAACCCUAGCAGCCCACACAAGUAUAUAAAGGACCCCUUAGGCCCCAAAAACGUGGACAAGUGAUUCUCUAGGGUUUCUAGUUGUUUUUGGGCAGCCUCUCUUCUUCUCCUCUUCAUCCAAGUUGUAUAUGGUGUUUGUGACUCCAUUACAGGUGCAGCACUUGAGGCACUAAGCUUUUGAAGCCAAUCCAUGCAAGGAAUUGAUUGUUAUUGCUAUAUAACAAUCAAAGGUAAUUCUCUAAACCCUAAUUCAGUUUAUAAUAUGUUAGAUCUAAGUUUGUUAGUCUUGGAUUCAAAGCAUAUACAAUAGAGAAACCUAGAUCCAAGCAUUAGGGUUUGUAUGAGCACAUAGGAUUGUUCUUAUGCAUAAAACCCAUCGUAAAAUUGGUGACAUACCCUGCGCAAACCUGUUGAAGGUAGCGCCUCACUUUCACUACUGAACACAAGGUCGGUCCACCCUGCGGUCUCUCUCUGUAUGAAUCACACAUUGAUAGGUUAAGAAUGUUGGGAGUCGUUGUCUGUGAGAAGCUAGUUGUUGACUUGGUUCUUCAGUCACUUCCUAACUCAUAUAGUGAGUUCAUAAGAGAGUACUAUAUGAUAUACCAUGACGUGACCCUCAUCGAUCUCACCUAUUUGCUUGUUUCUGCUGAAUCAACAAUGAUUUGGCGUAAUGGAGAAGAAAAGUUGAUUGGUGGAUCUGCCUUCCAAACCUCCUUGGACAUAGGCAAUGGCAACGAAAGGCAUGCCAUGGUCGAAAAGUUUGAUCAUAAGAGAAAGGAAAAGUCUUAGGUAGUUCCGUGUGCUGUUCCAAAAGAGUCAAUUUGCUUUUAUUGCCAAGAGAAGGGGCAUUGGACACUAAGCUGUCCUGUCUACCUGAGAGAUCUAAGAAAUGGGAGAGUCAAGACGAAUGACUCUACUUCAGGUAAAAUCCACUAUCUAUCUCCUUUAAUUUCCUAUUCAUUGAUUCUUAAUACAUGAUGUGAUAAGAUGAAAUUUGGAUGUUUUUGCAGAAUCAGAGAAAAGAGCGGAAGCUUAAAGGAAGAAGCAUGUUGAAUCUGAUCGUGAAGAAAUGGAUUUCGAUCACAUGGAUUCGAAGAUCAGAUUUUGAGCUGCUACUUUAGAGUUAGGAUAGAUUGCUAAGAAAUGUAAUAGCAUAGUUUUUCAAUUAAGUUGCAUUGUAAGGACAAAUUUUUCCGUAAUAAAAUAAAUUUUGAUAUUGUUUUAUUUAUUUAUCCUUGCAAUGACAUGAAUGAAAAAUUUAUGUUUGUGUAUUUUUAUUAUUAGCAAUGUUGAAAUGGAUGUGAUUCUUAGUUAUGUUAUUUAUGGUAGUGUCAUAACUUUCUAAGUAAGGAAAGAUUCUCAUCGCCCAAGUUUCAAUUGGACAGAAACUUGAAAUCAUAUAACUUGUAUUGUGUGAUGUAUGGAAAUCUUGAUAUUUGAGUAAUUAAGAAUAAUUGAUUGUUCACAUAAUUAUGUGAGUCAAGUGAAGGACUAAAGGAACUAGUACAUAAUUUUGUGUGCUAGUUAAGUCAAACAUAAUUAAAAAAUAACACUAUUCGUCAUGAUUUACUAAACGUCUAGUAAAUGUGAUUAUACUUACAAGAUUAAGUGUAAUUUUGAAUCAUUGAAAAGUUUCAAUGAAUGAAAGAAUGAAUAAGUAGAAUCAAUGAAGGCAGAAAGAUAAAAAGUUUCUCUAAUCCAAGAAGAAGGGAGAGUACUUUUGUAUCGUGUUUUAUGAUCGUCUUGGUAAUCAUAGGAACCAUAUUGCAAUUUAUCCUCUAAGGACACCUUAGUGCACUAGUUUGGCUAACAAGAGGAAUCGAUAAUAGUUGUAGUGGUUAACUCAAUAAGAUGUAUGGUACUUCGUUCCAAAAUCAAGUCUUAGAGUCAUACUCCAAGAUUGUGACUUGAGUGAGAUAGUCUUAAGUUGGAAUGUUCUUACACCAGCACAUUUUGGUAAGUUGUGAUGUCUGGAAUAAGACAAAGACCAACUAGUACCAAAUUGCAUGUAGUUUGGUCUUGAUAUAGACACACACUAACUCUUGGAUAUUUGUUUUUGUCAAGAAAUGUUUCUUGAUAAGAGCAUCUAAUAUGUCAACAGGUCAGUGGGAAUCUAAAGAUCUUGAAAAGUUUCAUGAACAAAUCAAGAAGUAAACCUAUUAAACACUAGCACACGACUUGAGGAAUGUAACCUAUCGUGUUGAGAAAAUUAUAUUAUUGUGGCAAUCUAAUUGAGUGAUUAUGCAUAUGAGUUCUACGAGUUCUCAAUAGUCUGCAUAAGGCAAGCACCUUGUUUAAUGAAAAUACAUUGACUGGCAUAGGUGAGCUGCUAAAUAACUUGGAAGUAAUGGUAGGACCCUUGAUGGAAAGAAAUUAAGAAUGAACAAGUUCUAUCCAUAAGAGAUUGGAUUUGUCACAAACAUUAUCUUAUGAUUACGGUUAUGACAAAUUCGCAUUGAUAGGAACACAUGCACCAUAAAAUCUAAGUGUCAUAAUGUUUCUCUCCUUCAUGAAAAUGAUUGUGAGGAAACACUUUCACUAAGAGAGAUUUUAAGGAGAUAGCGAUUAUGUAAAUUGCAUUCUCAAAUUCGAUUAUGAUUACGACAUCCCUCUUCAUAGUUUGAAUUGUGAGAUUUGGCAAUUAGUCUGAACAUUUAGGACUUAGUAAUAUAAGUUCUGAAUUAGUUUAGACACACAUCUGAGCUGUCUAAAGAAAGGUGUGUGAGUUUGAGAAGCUUAGAUAAAAGGCUUAUCAAAGCAUAUCGUAUUGGAAAUAUGAACUUUGGAAAUCAAUAAGUAUUGUGUUCUAGAAGUCCAACUGUUUUCUGAAUACGUGUCAAAGCAAGUGAGAGUAUAAAUGUUAUGCUGGAAUGGAUAUAAUCAUCAUGUUAGUGGGAGCAUGAUUAUUAUUAUUUUAAGUAUUUCAAGUUGGAAAUAUUAAUUAUAGAAAAAGAAAAGUUUCACUUUGCAAAGUUGUAGGAGUUGAAAAGUUGUUUUUGCUAUAAUUAAAGGAGAGUAUGUUAUACUUCGUUUCCAAUCUAAGAGCUUAGAUCGAGAAAUUUUAAUUGAAUUUAGUCAAGUAUAUAUUUAUUAUUUGCAUUCUCAAAGUUUGAUUAUGAUUACGACAUCCAUCUUCAUAGUUCGAAUUUUGAGAACACAAAAAUAGGAACAUUAUGACAAUAUUAUAGCAAGAAGCUGAUAAAGUAUCACGUUUUGUUGCAUCGUAUCCCAUACGCUUCGAGUAUAGGAUCGAUUGCAUAUGCUGUAAUAUUCGACCGUUCUAAAAUUUUCCAAAUGCAUAGGGCAUUUAGAGCGGAAAAGGGAAUAGAACCGGUGUAAGUCCCCAAAUUUGCUUGUGUAUCAAUCAGAUCCAAUUGAUGGUGCGGAAUCUCAAUCAAUUGGAUGAUGUCAGAUUAAAUUAAAAGAGAAGGAGAAGAAGAAGAAGAUGAAUCUAUGAUGUAUUAAUGAAAUGAUUGAUGCUCCAUACACAUAGUUCACGUACAGUCUCCUCUCUUGUAAAUGUUUAGAAAAGCAAAGUAUAAACCAUAUUUUUGACCCAACAAUCUCCCCCUUAGUUUAUAGCUUUCUUUUCUAAUUGACCCCACAAGCUCCCCUUAAAAAGUAGCUGUCACUUCUUGUCAAUCUUCAUUGGGAGCCUGGCUUCAGCUAUUAUCUUCAAAUUCUUCACAACGUCAAGAUGAUCUUGAUGAAUCUUCAAUGAAUGACUUCAUCUGGAGCAGUUGGGCUUUUCUUCAAGAUUUGAAAUUGAACGCACAUUGGGUGAGGAAGCUUCAUGUACUAAUUCUUGAAAGAUGGCGCUUUCAGCUUGAUAAUCUUCAAAGAGAACUAACAGAGAGAAAUAAUCUUCUGGAUCACUUCAGCAAGUACAAAGAUAAAAGCAGACUGAUUGAUGAGGUUUCAAUGCAAUCCGUCACAUAAUCUUCAAUUAUAGUUUCACCAUGCUUCUAGGGCUGAAAGAUUGAAUGUCGAAAGAAUAAUCUUCAUUUCUUGCUCCUUCGAAAGAGAAUUCUUCGAUGAUCACGGAUAAAGCCUUGGCUCAUAAAAUCCUCGAUAAAGUCUCCAUGAGUCAAAUCUACAUAUGAAUUCAUUUUUUCAAGACGAAACAAAACUAAAAGAUAACUUACCACACAAUAUUUUUGGAUUUUUUAUAUUUUCUGGAAAAAUAAAAACAGAAACAAAAAUAUUUUUGGAUUUUUGAUUUCUAUGAACAAGAAAUAAAACGGAAUAUAACACUAUUUUUGGAUUUUUUUUGUUUGAUUUUUGAUUUUUUUUAAUACUCCCCAUAAAUUUGUGCAUAGAGGAAAACUAUGAACAAAUUUAACAAAAACAAAAAUAUUUGGGAUCAAAGUUGUUAGACAGUCUUAAUCCGUUUGUCAGUACCUUCCCCUUCAUGAAUAGAUCUAGUCGAUCGCCGGUAUUGUGGUCCACUUAAGCACGAAAAAUUGUGACAAAUUUUGGACAUGAUAUAAGUGACAAGACAAGUUGAACCUAUGUUCCUAGAUAAGACUUCCUAAGGACCAUUCAACUAACGACGACCAAGGAUAUUGUUGUCCACCUAAGUGGAGUAGCGAGCUCUAUAGAUAACUUAUAAAUCGUUCAAUGUUAGUUGUACUAGAACAUGUUUCCCACUUCCUGAUAUACCCCAAUAAUCAAGGACUUCUGAGAUGCUCCUUACUUUAGGUGAGAAGACAAUUAUUAGGAGAGAGGAUAGAUUUAGAAUGCAUAUGUCGUACACCCAAGUCAGAUCUCUUCCAAUCACGCAGAAGAUGAAACAUAUGACUAACUAGAAUUUCAGAGGAAUUGAGAAGCAAAAGGUUGCAUAUGCUGUGUACCAGGUUGGAUUACUAAUCACGCAAAGGAGACAACAUAUGGCUAACAGGUAGAAAGAAUAGCAUAGACAGAAGAUGCAGAGAGACAAAUUUGCAUAUGUUGCAGUCCAGGUCGGAUCUUUCGAUCACACAAAGGAGGCAACAUAUGACUAAUAGUAGGAAAGAAAGAAAAUAACUUUCUACAGACCUAAUUUACCGUAAUUCCCCAGUCGCCCCGUCAAUAUUUGAAUUAAGGACAAAAUCCGUAUAUUAAGGAAAAGUUAAACCACAGUUCUAGAUACGGGUUCUCUUAAUGUGACCGGUAAAUUCUCAUGUAUAUCUCCCUGUUCAACCUACCCAUGCGUCAUAUUGUCAGGCUAAACGGAACUAUAUAGGUCAAGAUUUAUCAAGUCUCUAGAUUCCAUAAGUUCAUCUGUACCUAGUCAAGUCCAUUAAACUUUUCGUGCCUACCAGCGCAUCGAACACAGAGCCUAGACAAUUCAGCUUUGGUACCUUACACAGAUUCAGAUUGCUUGUUAUCACUUGUUGAUAUCACUUCCCAAUAAUACCUACUAACGAAAAACUAUAAGAAAAAUAAAAGAUUAACUCCAAAAUGAAUCAGUGUAAAAUAAACUAAAGAGUAUCGAGAAGAAAACUCAAACCAUAAUUCACCGAUUGAAUUUGCAUCCAGAAGGUCUGAGAAGAACAUGUAUAAUCUCAGAACAGAUCUGAAAAUUCUUCAUGUCAUUAAGCACUAACCCCAUAUGUGAUCCCUUCCUUUAUUCCUUUCCCACAAAGGACACAUACUCUCAAACAAAGUUCUGAAUGUUGUACUGUUGAGAGAUGCCUCCUAUCAAGUUCCUGGAACAACCACUAUCAACAAACUGAAGUUUGAUGAUAUGCCUCCAUAGCUAUUUCGACAGCAAGCGAGAUCAGUUGGUCUUUGGAACCCAGCCCAUUUUGAAACUGGGUUGACCUUUGUCAUCUUUUCAAGGAACUCUCUCCCAUGACAUAUCCUGCAUAUCACAAAUAGAAGAUGACGAAAUAUUAGAAUCGUUAGAAGAUUUGUUAGAUUGAACCUUUGGUACCCAUCGGUAGUUGGGUUUGACCCAUUUCUUGUUCAAGCGGAUGGGUGCCUCGGCACUUGAUUUUGAACUUGAAGUCGUCCUUUGAGAUGACCUUAACCUAGCCGGUCUUGGCUUCACUGGAACAUCUCUUGGAUUAGGCUUCUUGCCUGACAUUUCCUUCUUGACCUUGGGAUUUUGAUUCUUGGCCUUGGGAGUUGAAUUCUUGCUCGUCUGCGCAUUCCAGUCACCCUUAUCUGAAAGUGACCUUGAGGGGUUUCUUUUGGAAGGUCUCCCUCUUGGCACAUUCUGGCAUCCUUGUGCGUUGUAGGGAACAUAUGCACGAUUUGGACAGUUUCGGACAAUGUGACUAGGUGUUCCACAGUGAAAACAUGUCUUUUUCUUCACUGGGAAGUUGUUUCUUCCUGCCCCUGGUGGCGUGUCCAUGCCUUGUCUCUGGUUGUUCCCACAUGCACACUUGAAACAAGCCGUCGGUUUCGCUUGUUUUGGUGGCCUGUAUUUCUCAACAGCAGGUUGUUCUCAUCUUCUACUACUUUACCUGCAGAUGUAACAGAAUCAUUAGAAACGUUCACCUCAACCUUUUCUGGCACAACCACAACAGGUUUCCCAUAUUGAAGAUGUGCCUCCCUAUCAAUUUCUUCAUGUGUCAUAGGGAUGGAUAUAUAGUUAUGAUUGAGAGGGGGAGGAACACUAUUGUUGGAUUAGUGUCUAAGUCCAUAACUAUUUUGGUAUGUACUUGACCCGAUGGUGCAUGGUCCUUUUGGGUUGCCAUCAUCAAAGCAACUUGAUAGGAUGAAUAAUGGAACGAGAGGAGUAAUUAUGAUUUAUUAAUAUAUUAUGAGAAUAAUAUAUUAUAGGACAAAUCAUAUUGUUUAAUUAAUAUUAGUCAAUAAUUAAUAAGAAUUAAUUUUGUGGCUAAAAGAGAUUAAUUAAUAAAGGGGACUAGAACUGUCAAUUAUGUAUUGAGCUAAUGGACUCCAUAGAGGAUGGAGUGGACGAAUUCUAUGGGGAAACCCAUUAGAAAUCGUCCAAGGCCUCUAAGGAGGGAGUCCAUGUGUUGCUUAGGGCCUAAGCAGUCAAAUUAGGGUUUCUUUGUUAGAUAAACCUAAUAGCCUCACUAUUUAAGGACCCCUAGGGCACCAAAAACGUGGCCAACUGAUUCCUUAGGGUUUCUACAUGUUUUUGGGUGCCUCCUCUCUUAUCAUUCUUCAUCCUCUUGCUCUUAGUGUUUGUGAGCCAUAGAGGAGUGACACUUGUGACUCUAAGCUUUCUAAAGCCAUUACAAAGGAGGAUUUGAGAUUGUUAUUGAUAUAUAACAAUCAAGGUAAGAUCUAAACUCCAAUCUUAUGUUAAUAUGAUUAAUUGCAUGCUAGAUCUAGGGUUUAUAGCUUUCAAUAUUCAAUUGCAUGUUCAUUAGUCAAACUAGAUCCAAAAGCUAUUAGGGUUUGCAUGUACGCCAUAGGAAUGAUGUUUUGCUCAUAACCCAUCAGUGGUAUCAGAGCCAUGGCUAUUUGUUUGAUGUAUUUGAUGCUAUUGUGAAUUAUCCUUUCUUAAAGAUCGAAAUUUAGGGUUUCUGGGGGCUGAACUCGCCGAGUCCAUAGAUGAACUUGCCGAUUUCAUGGUGAACUCGCCGAGUCCAUGCCUGACUCGAUGAGUCAGCUGGUCAGAAAGAGGGAAAAUCGGGAUUUUGUGCUUUUUUGGCUGUGGGAUAGUUACCAAAACGUUUUUUAUUGAUAUAAAUCAGAUUUUUAUGAUAUUGGGUGAUUAUCUUUGCCAAAAUUAAAGAUAACUUCAUAUUAGUUAAAUAAUUAUUUCCUUAUAUGAUUAGAUUUAAUUAUUUGAAUUAUUUGGUGAAUUAUCUUGCAAGAAUUUGGACUAGGUCAAAUUAGAUAACCACCAAUUAAUUGUUAAUUGCCUUAUUUGAAUUUUGUGAUCUAGAAUAUUCUUGACAAAGUUUGGAAAAGUUUCAAAUUAAUCCCUUUAGGUUUUAUAGUUUAAAUUUGAACUUAAAAGUUUUGUUUUUGAAAUUUAAAUAAGUUAAACCCUAAUGUUUUGAAAUGUUUCAAAACUUGCCCUCAAGUUUUGGAAUUUAAAAGUUGAUUAAAAGUUUAAUUUAGAAAUGUUAAAUUCUAAAACCCUAGUAUUGUUUUGAAAAGUUCAAAUCACACCCUUAUGAGUUUAUUAAUUAAUUAAGGUGUAUAAUUAAAAGAGAUUUAAUAAAUCCAUAAAGUUUUGAUUUACAUUUAAUUAAAUUAAAAGUAUUAUUUAUUAAAUUAGAACACCUAGUAUUUUAAAAGUGUAAAAUACACCCUAUACUAUAUAUAACAUUAAAAGUCUAGUAUUAUAUAUGUAUGAGUAAACAGUCAGUCUUAUCGUUAGUAGGCCUCAUUAACGAAGCUAGUCUAUAAGGGGUGUUUAAGGAAAUUUCCUAUAAAAUAGCGAUUGAAUGGGUAUCCACUCUUACCCACCGCACUCUUGAGUAGUGGAAGGUCGUUAGCCGAACGGGUAGGAUAGGACAGAAACCUUCCAUUAUAAGUAUAAUGAAGUACAAAAGUAACUAAACGCUUUUACAAAAUUCCCAAUCUUAGUUACUUUAGGCCAAAGUGAAUUGAUGAAAUUCCAUGAAAUUACACUUUGUGCCCUUGCGAAGACGUUAGUUGAGCGUGUGUGGUUAACCGGCACACUAAAUGGUUCUAAGAAAAGUUAGCAAAGGGUGACUCAUUGUUUGUCAUAGUUCGGUGGAACGUGUGUGGUUAACCGACUCAUCGAAUAGGUGACUGUAACAUUAGGGGCACCAUGUAAGUUUGCAUGGUUAUUUACACCCUGUUUUGUGAUCCUCGGCAUCCCAGUCACAAAUCGAGGGGCAUAUCGAGAUUUAAACAUCCCAUUGAAAUGUUCAAUGAAUCUUAAAAGAUCUAGGAAUUUUCAAUAGAUUUAAAACUUAAAUUUAUUUUUCGUUUUUCAUGGUGGAAAUUGGUAAAUCUUCAUUUACUUACCUUCAAAUAUUCUGCAACUAGAUUACGACAUCCCUCUUAUAGGUUGUGGAGUAUUGUGUUGGAUCCUAGCCUCGAUGUUUCAUUUGGGUGUCACAUCGAGGAUCCUGAUCAACUUAACUUGAUUUUUCUCCCGUUUUGUAGACGUCAAAGUAUGACAACUAUUGUCUUCCCAAAUCCCGUGGAACAAGCUUUUCACAUGAAGAUGAUAUUCCACGAUUCGAUCGAGGAACACAAGAUCAUGAUUCACUUCCUCCACCUCCUCCUAUUGUUCUCCCUUACCCACAAGUUCAAAAGAUUGAAAAGUUCAAACUCACUCAAGCCCUUUAGGAAAGUAAACAUGACGAAAGAAAAUCAAUGUGUGCACACGUCCUAGAGAUGAAGUCACACAUUGAUAGGUUAAGAAUGUUGGGAUCUGUUGUCUGUGACGAGCUGGCUGUUGACUGGGUUAUUCAGUCACUUCCUGACUCAUAUAGUGAGUUGAUAAGAGAGUACUAUAUGAUGAACCAUGACGUAACUGUCACAACCCAAAACCAAGAACGACGGAAACGUUCUGGCGCGGAGGACGUCAUGUAAAGUAUCAUAACAGUGCAAAGUUGUAAACAAACAACAACAUCAUCCAUUGCAUUAAAAGUAAAGUUUUAAUACAUGUGUGCUCUUUCGUAGUAAUAAGACAUCAAAAUAUGUGAUCAGAAUAAAAGACGAGUCUUGUCUGCUCCGUCUUCACAAAACCUGGUUGCCAUACUUGUCUAUUUGUGACCUGAGAAUACAAGUUAUUUUGAAAGCGAGCAUCAGCCAAAAAGCUGGUGAAUUCAUAAGUAUUAAUGUGUCUUUAAUUUGUAAAACUAUGAAGUAAAGACUUGUAAACAUUUAGAGAAACAUUUGUAUAAGUAUCAAAAUGUUUGUAAGUAGUCGAAUAACGUUUGGAAACCCUAGAAAAUCCCUAUGAUUUCUACUAGUAUAAAAGUAGUCUUCUACCAAGACUUAACUGUUUUGAAAGUAACAAAGAUGGUUUUUCGCUAGAAUGACUACUAUUAACAAGAUAUAGUCUACCUCAUCGUUUAUGUGAACGUAUCACAAAAUAAAAGUAAUAGGGAAAAUAUAGCCAUAUAACUAUUACCCUUUUGUAUUAGGAUAAACACGACAUCGCGACUGCCAAAUAGUAUUAACCAUAGAAAUCCGUAGAUGUACAUUUACCUCUGUUGCUAACAGCCGGGCUUAGGAGUGUUAGAUUGCUCAAAACCCAACAAAUUUUAUGUCUAUAUAUGUAUAAAUGGUAUAUGACUAAUAUUUAGAUGACAUUCGGACGACUAACCGAUACCCUAAGGCCACAUCCCAACGAGGAAAAGGAAAUAAAGUGACUAGCCUUCCUAAGUCCUUUAAACAUUACUUAUAUAACUAUACAUAUAUGGGCAUGCAUUUGAUAAUAUAAAAGCAUAAAAGAAGUUUUGUAACACCUUUGAAAGUUUAAUACUAAGAAACGAUGACUUGAUGUUAGUUUGUAAAAUGAUUUGAAAGUAUUUUGUUUGAUAAGACAGUUUAAGUAUAAGGAAAACCUUUGUUUGAAAACACAUUUGUAAUAGAGUUUGAAAGGAAACUUACAGUAUGUAAGACAGUUUGAUAAAGAGUUUUAAACAUGUAAAAACGUUUAAGAAAGUCAUUGAUGAAAUCUGAUUGGUAAAACAGUUACCGUAUAGUAAAUCCAUUUGUAUGUUAGUUAUUAAUCACAUGUGAUUGAUAUAAUAACUAGCAUGAUUCAACUUGUAUUCCCACCCCCAUAAAACAUUUAAAAACAUUUAGAAACAUUUAAAAAGUUAAUUUAAGGGGUAUGAACUCACCUGCAGUGAGUGGUUUGUUCGGAAGUGUCGGACAAGGUGCUAGGUGUCAAGUGAGGACUUGAACACACACAAUGGUCUUAGUUAUAAUAUAAUAAACAUAUAUGUAAUAUAAUUAGUAAAUUAAUAACUAAUUAAUCACAUUAAGACACCCUAGGUCACGGAAACACUUUGAUUCAAGUGCUACAGGUACCAAAGGGUUGCACCUAAGGGUUGUAUGACAUGGAAUUGGAGUUUAUGGCCCAUGAACCACCCCUUUAUGGAGUUUAUGACCCAUGACCAUUUCCCCAUGAGUUUAGGGCCAUAAAAUCGUGGUACUAACUGACAAAUUGUGUUUUGAGGUAUUACAAGUCAUGGUUUAGCAUCCGAUGAUCAAGUCCAAGCCUUAGGAAAGCAUUAGGGGCAUAAUAAGACUACCUAGUGGAGUUUACAGCCAAAUGACCAUAUUCUUAUGUGUUCCCGGAUGUAAACUCUCUUAGGGACAUGUUUUGAUUGUUGUUUAAGGUCUUAAAUACUUCUUGGAAGGUUCAAGGUUGGCACCCAAGGCUUAGGAAGGCUUAGGAAGGUUCAAGGUUGGCACCCAAACUCUAAUAGUUUGGCCGUGAACUCCUUAUUAGGUGGUAUGUGCGGUUUUGCAACUCCAAGACUCGAGACGGUACUUCCUUCCAUCCGUUCGUUUGAAGAAUAAAUACUAAAAACACUCAAACGGACUUUGAAUUGGCUAACAAUUAUUUAGGAUGUAAUUGAAUUUUAAUUUAAGUGCUUGACUUUAAAGUUUGAACAAAUGAAAAUUCCGGUUGUCACAUCAUCCCCCCGUUAAGGGGAAUUUCGUCCUAAAAUUAAAGUUUAAGCAAUUAAAGUAGUUACAGAUAACUAAGCGAAUAGAUGAGGAUAUUUCAAUUUCAUUUGAUCCUCGCGCUCCCAUGUGAAUUCGGGUCCUCGGUUGGUAUCCCAACGAACCUUCACCAAUGGGAAGCGGCUUUGCCUUGUUCGCCUAACUUCUCGGUCCUAUGGUUACUACGGUUCUUCCACGAAAGCGAGGAUCUCAUUGAUCCCGAGCUAGUCGAGUGGGAUCACGAGAGUCCUGACGGAAAGGUAUGUUUUCAUGUUUGAGACGCGAAGGGAGAAAUGUUCGUUACUAAGUUCGUGGGGUAGGUUAAGUUGUGGAUCUUCCCUUGCCCUCUUUUACUAUGAGAGUAGAUAAGUAAGUCAUUUACAAGACAAUGACAAACUGAUCCAAGUAAGAAUGGCAUAUCCUAUUCAUUACGUUCAUGAAUACUACGGGCGUAUUCGUCGUAUCUGAGGGGUAUCACUACGGACUCGUAGUGUCCGUAUUGAGUUUGGAAGAUUGUACUCUGGACAUCCUCCUUUAAAACUCGUAACUGAUGAUAUUCGGACCUUAGAUCUAUUUCUGAAGGGUAAAUAGUUCCUUGCGGUUGGUCAACCGACUCAUCUAUGCGAGGCAGAGGGUAAUGAUUUCUAAUGGAAAUCUUGUCAAGGUCUCUGAAGUCGAUGGAAUUACGAAGCAAUCCGUCUAUCUUCUUGAAGAAUAAGACCGGAGCUCUCUAGGAUGAGAAGCUUGGUCUUUCCAUUCUAGUGCUGAGUAGUUUUUAAAAUGUCCGGAAGGUUCUUGUAUCUCCAUGGGUGUUAGACUGUAGGGCGAUCUGGUUACAGAAGUCUUAUUGGGUUCUAAGUUUGUUCGCUUGGCGAUGCGAUCACUCAUAGUCUUGGGUAGUCUCCGUCCUGAAGUUCAUAAUAGAAGAUAUACAUGGUUCAUCAAUCGCAGUCUAUUGUAUACGAGUCGUAUAUAAUUAAGAUUGAUAAGGUAGUCAGAUAACUGAUUCUUCUUUAGGCUCACAUCCCAACAAGGAAAAAAGUUAAAGUGGAAUCAUCAGUUCUAAACUUGUAAAAUGUUGAUUAUAUGUGACAACCCGAAAUUUCCAUUUUGAACAAACUAUAUCACUUCAAUAGAAGUUAUAGCAGUCAUAGUUAAUUUUCAUACUUUUUCGUGUAAGUUUGAGUAAUUUAGGGUUUACACUUCAGGAGAUAUCAGGAGAGUGGAUGCACUAGGGUUUAGUGCAACACUGUUAUUCCAACACUUUGUUAUAUGCGAAAUCAUUUCAGGAAUAAAAAUAUUUUCUGCCAAAAAUAUCUCAGGACUAUAAAUAGAAUUCUAAACCAAAUUCAUUCGAUAUUCGCAUUUCCAACUAGAGAAAAGCCAUUUUCUCUCUGACGGAUCUUCGGGUUUUUAUACCAAAACAUGAGUAACUCUUUCUAGUAGUGUUAGAAGCUUAUUAUGUGUUUAUAACAUGAUUUAGAUGGCUAAAUCACUAGAUUUAGGAGUUUACUCCCCAAGGUGUUCUUGGGCGGUAAACUCCCGAAACAAUGCCUAGACCUUCCCUUAUGAUAUUACACUACCUUGGACUUGUAUAGGAGUGUAUUAGGGACAAGAAAACAUCAAAGAAUCACCCAAGUUUAGGUGUUCACGGCCCAAGAUGAUCUUGGAUCGUGAACUCCAAAAUCAUGGACAAAAGGGUGCUUUUAUGGCACCUAAAGCCUUAGACGUUUACUAGCAAUUGUUUCCACUUAAAUCAAGGACCAAAACACAUCAAAAUCACCCCUCAAAGUGAGUUCACGGCCCUAAUAAGGUUCUUGGGCCGUGAACAUCAAAGAAGGGAACCAAAGUGUGCCUAAGGCCUUCAUAUGCUUGGGAUAAAAGUUUGAGACCUAUACUACAUGUGAAUAAGACUUGAAAGCAUCAAAAACACCCAUCCGUAAGAUUUUACGGCCGCAAACUCUAAAGGAAAUGUCCUUAAGGCCGUAAACUCCUCAAAGGGGUGUUUCUAUGCCUUAAACCCUUCCAAGGAUUUAACCACCAAGUUGGAAUAAUUCUUGGAAUCAUUUAGAACUUCAAAACACAAAAUACCAUCGAGUUUACAACCGUAAACUCCAUGUGUGAGGAUAUAUGGAGAGUAAACUCAUAUAUGGGGUCCUUUGGAACCCUAAACCCAAGUACCUUGUCCCACAAUAGCUUAGAUGCAAUCCCUAGGGCUUAAAACACUUAUAUAAAGUGUUUAUUAUGUUCUAGGAUGUCUUAACAUUAUCAAUUAGUAAUUUAAGACUAAUUGAGUGCAUAUAUGUGUGAUUAUAUGUUCAUUAGGAUCGUAGUGUGUGUACAAGUCCUCACUUGACACCUAACAAUCCUACACCGUCCAGUUCAUCCAAAUCACCAUCUACAGGUGAGUUCAUACCCCUAAUCAAUGUUUUAAAUGAUUUUAAAUGCUUUAAUGGGGGGGGGGGAAUACAAGUAGAAAACAACAUGUUAUUAAAUCAUCUAUAUGUAUUUUAUAACUGUGUUUUCAUUCAACAGAUUUCAUAUACUACAAAAUGUGAUGCAUGAAUGCUUUUCUAUCUUUAAAAUACUUUAUUAUCAAAUGUAUUACUUUUGAAAUGUUUAUCAAAAUGACAUCAAGUCACUUUUAUAUUUGUUCAAAACCCUUAAAUGUCUUACAAAACCAUUUUACAUUCUUGAACUAAACUAUGCAUAUACACUUAUAUUCUUAUAUAUGUAUUGAUGUUAUAGUUUACAUCUUUCAUUUAGUUUCUCACACCCUUGAGUAGUAAGAGUGUAUAAACCUACUUGAACAACCAAUUACCUUUCAGUAAAUUAUCAUAGGGAUAAUUUGAAGAUAUCAAACAUUAUUCCUAUUACAAGGAAUCACACAAGAGUCAGUUCAUUCAUGAGUCUACACCAGUACAUUACCUGAUACAUGAGUACAUAUACAUAUGCUUACCUGAUACAUGAAUAUGUUUACAUAUACUUACCUGAUACAUGAACACACUUACAUGAAUACCAUACAUGAACACUGUUUCAUAGGUGCAUUAUCUUGUAUUCACUUACCUGGAUACUUGUACUUAGAACUACGAGGAAGAUUUAUUCGUACCUUCUGUGUAAAUUUUCCUGCCUAUCCCUGUUCGACGGGAUGUCUAGACGAGACUAACCAUUAUGGAACCCAACUGUUAGCACCACUGGGUGAUGAACAUCUACGGAUGUCUAAGGUUAUCACUUAUCAUAGAUAGAUUGAUAUCGGAACUAACCAUUCCUCCAUGCUGCUGUUGCAACAGAGGAUGAGAUGAAAAUCUUCGGACGAUCAUUAGGUUGCCACUUAUAUUAGGAGUUGGCUACAGGACUAACCCUUCCUCCAACAUGCUGCUGCUACAGAGGACAAUUGGACCAUCUUCGGAGGUUCAUUAGGUUAUAUAUAUCGCUUACUGCGAUGGUGUGUUAGUCCUGGUAUCCAGGGAUAACACUUACAUGGUUAUAUUUUUCCUAUUUACUUUAUUUUGUGAUAUAUUCACAUAAACGAUGAGUUAGACUAAUUACUGUUUGUAGUAGUCAAAAAGAAGGAAAAACUAUCAUUUUACUUACAAAACAUUCGGGUCUUGGUAGAAGACUACAUUAUCAUAACAAAACAUUCGGGUCUUGGUAGAAGACUACAUUNNNNNNNNNNNNNNNNNNNNNNNNNNNNNNNNNNNNNNNNNNNNNNNNNNNNNNNNNNNNNNNNNNNNNNNNNNNNNNNNNNNNNNNNNNNNNNNNNNNNNNNNNNNNNNNNNNNNNNNNNNNNNNNNNNNNNNNNNNNNNNNNNNNNNNNNNNNNNNNNNNNNNNNNNNNNNNNNNNNNNNNNNNNNNNNNNNNNNNNNNNNNNNNNNNNNNNNNNNNNNNNNNNNNNNNNNNNNNNNNNNNNNNNNNNNNNNNNNNNNNNNNNNNNNNNNNNNNNNNNNNNNNNNNNNNNNNNNNNNNNNNNNNNNNNNNNNNNNNNNNNNNNNNNNNNNNNNNNNNNNNNNNNNNNNNNNNNNNNNNNNNNNNNNNNNNNNNNNNNNNNNNNNNNNNNNNNNNNNNNNNNNNNNNNNNNNNNNNNNNNNNNNNNNNNNNNNNNNNNNNNNNNNNNNNNNNNNNNNNNNNNNNNNNNNNNNNNNNNNNNNNNNNNNNNNNNNNNNNNNNNNNNNNNNNNNNNNNNNNNNNNNNNNNNNNNNNNNNNNNNNNNNNNNNNNNNNNNNNNNNNNNNNNNNNNNNNNNNNNNNNNNNNNNNNNNNNNNNNNNNNNNNNNNNNNNNNNNNNNNNNNNNNNNNNNNNNNNNNNNNNNNNNNNNNNNNNNNNNNNNNNNNNNNNNNNNNNNNNNNNNNNNNNNNNNNNNNNNNNNNNNNNNNNNNNNNNNNNNNNNNNNNNNNNNNNNNNNNNNNNNNNNNNNNNNNNNNNNNNNNNNNNNNNNNNNNNNNNNNNNNNNNNNNNNNNNNNNNNNNNNNNNNNNNNNNNNNNNNNNNNNNNNNNNNNNNNNNNNNNNNNNNNNNNNNNNNNNNNNNNNNNNNNNNNNNNNNNNNNNNNNNNNNNNNNNNNNNNNNNNNNNNNNNNNNNNNNNNNNNNNNNNNNNNNNNNNNNNNNNNNNNNNNNNNNNNNNNNNNNNNNNNNNNNNNNNNNNNNNNNNNNNNNNNNNNNNNNNNNNNNNNNNNNNNNNNNNNNNNNNNNNNNNNNNNNNNNNNNNNNNNNNNNNNNNNNNNNNNNNNNNNNNNNNNNNNNNNNNNNNNNNNNNNNNNNNNNNNNNNNNNNNNNNNNNNNNNNNNNNNNNNNNNNNNNNNNNNNNNNNNNNNNNNNNNNNNNNNNNNNNNNNNNNNNNNNNNNNNNNNNNNNNNNNNNNNNNNNNNNNNNNNNNNNNNNNNNNNNNNNNNNNNNNNNNNNNNNNNNNNNNNNNNNNNNNNNNNNNNNNNNNNNNNNNNNNNNNNNNNNNNNNNNNNNNNNNNNNNNNNNNNNNNNNNNNNNNNNNNNNNNNNNNNNNNNNNNNNNNNNNNNNNNNNNNNNNNNNNNNNNNNNNNNNNNNNNNNNNNNNNNNNNNNNNNNNNNNNNNNNNNNNNNNNNNNNNNNNNNNNNNNNNNNNNNNNNNNNNNNNNNNNNNNNNNNNNNNNNNNNNNNNNNNNNNNNNNNNNNNNNNNNNNNNNNNNNNNNNNNNNNNNNNNNNNNNNNNNNNNNNNNNNNNNNNNNNNNNNNNNNNNNNNNNNNNNNNNNNNNNNNNNNNNNNNNNNNNNNNNNNNNNNNNNNNNNNNNNNNNNNNNNNNNNNNNNNNNNNNNNNNNNNNNNNNNNNNNNNNNNNNNNNNNNNNNNNNNNNNNNNNNNNNNNNNNNNNNUCCACAUUCGCCAACUAGAGUCUGCUCAUGAAAGGACUCUGGUCCGCAAUGCAAAUCUGCAGAGGGAACUUGCUGAAACUCAAGCUGAAGUUAGGGAACUUCGAGCUCAGCAAGUGAGAGCUGACAGGCGUAUGAGGGACAUGGAACGUCUACUAUCGGGAUCAAGAACUCAUGCUAGCAGUUCUCGUCGCCGAUAGAAUCUCGUCAACUCAUCUUUUUGAUAUAACUUAGUUUAUGUAAAACUUUGGUCUAAUUUCCUGUCUUUAUAAAUCCUAGACCUGUUAGGUCUUGAUCUAGUCUUAAUCUUGUCAAAAUUUUCCAUCUUGGUUGAUGUAAGGCCUACUUCUAAGCCAUUUUUCCGGAACUUGUUACAUCUGUAAUUCUAGUAUUAUUGACAGAUAUCUAAUCUUAUGGAAAUUAUUAUCCCAACGCUGUCAUCUGCAUUUAGUCAUUCUAUUCAUUCUGUUGUUGGGCUAUGGGGAGUUAGUCCAUGAAACACAUUCAUUGUUCAUUUAUUCUUAUCCAUGUCGUCAUCUUUUAAUUGUAUAGUUAAAGAUGCCGCCACGCAGAAAUACAAGGCGUAACCUAAACAACGAAGCACCGAUACCACCACCUCCACCACCACCUGAACCUCUUCAACCACCUAAUCCUUUCGAUGCCAAUAUGUUUCAGGCAGCUUUCAUAGCAGCAGUUGCAGCUACUGUGUCAGCAAUCAACGCUCCUGCCCCUAGUGGAUCAGGAACAGGUGCACCUCCCUCGAACCACGACGAAAGCCAUGGACACCCUCGGGGAUGCACCUACAAGGACUUCACGAACGCCAAACCCCGCAGCUUCAAUGGAACUGGGGGUGUUAUGGUGUUGAGACAAUGGAUUGAAAAGAUGGAAUCCGUCUUUGAAAUCUGUGCUUGCCAGGAGGGCAACAAGGUCAAGUUUGCAGCUUAUACCUUCUCUGACAGAGCACUAACAUGGUGGAACGGCCAUGUUAACUAUCUGACUUUGGUGGUGGCGUAUUCCAUCAGCUGGGAAAAGUUAAAGGACAUGCUGAUGAAAGAGUACUGUCCUCAAGGUGAAGUACAAAAACUUGAACAGGAAUUCUGGGGUCUACAAAUGGUUGGAUACGACAUCACAAGCUACACUAAUAGGUUCUGUGAUCUGGCAAACCUAUGCCCUGAUAUGGUUGCUCUUGAGAGCAAAAAGAUAGAGAGAUAUAUCUGGGGACUGUUGCCCCAGAUCCAGUCAAUUGUGAUAGCUUCUAGGCCUAUUACCUUCGAUAGCGCCAAGGAACUGGCACAAUCUCUCAUCGAUCACCAAAAACCUCAGAACCCAACAAUCCCUACACCCAUACCACAAAAGUCCAACCCCAACCACAACAGGAAGGGGGUGGAAUAAGAGGAAAAGAGGGACUUUGCAAGGAUCCUCCAAGAAACAACAACUUGUGGCGAUCAAUGCUGCCACAGUGACUCCCAUUGUCCCUGCGAACCCCUUACCAGCAAAAACAUAUGCUGGAACCCUUCCGAAAUGCACCAAGUGUAAUUUCCACCACCACGGACCUUACAAGGAGAUGCAGUGCUCUAACUGCAACCGGAAGGGACACACAGUCCGUUUCUGCAAGAUUCCAACAGCUCAGGCCGCUCAGGUUCCUAACGCCGGUAUGGGCCAAACUUGCUACGAUUGUGGCGAAGUGGGCCAUUUCAAGUGGAACUGCCCUAAGGCGGGGAUGGCUGGAGGAGUUGGAAGAGUUAUGGCCCUAGGCCACAAGGAAGCGGUAGCUGAUCCUACGAUAGUUACUAGUACGUUUCUCCUUAAUAACUCAUAUGCUUGAAUACUAUUCGAUAGUGGAGCAGAGAAAAGUUUCAUAAGUCACACAUUUGCCCACCUGCAUAAAAAAAAACCAUGAGCGUUAGAUAGUUCAUUCACGGUAGAAAUGGCUAACGGGAAAACAGAGAGUACUAACUGCAUAUCCGUAGGUUGUACUUUAACUUUAGAUGGCCAUACUUUAAAGAUAGAUCUCAUGCCAGUCCCAAUUAAAUGUUUCGACGUUAUCACCGGCAUUGAUUGGUGGAGUCUUCUUCGCGCCGACAUCAUGGGCUUUGAAAAAGAAGUUCGUCUUAACCAUCCUAACAACGAAACCUUAAUUAUCUACGGCGACAAACCUAGUACGAGCCUUCGCAUCAUUUCCUGCAUUCAAGCCCAUAAGUGCUUGCGGAAGGAGUAUCAUGCAUUUCUCGUACACGUCGUUGAUACAAGUCAAGAAACGAAAGACAUUCAGAACAUCCCAGAAGUACGCGACUUUCCCGACAUCUUCCCAGAAGAACUUCUCGGUUUACCACCGCAACGCCAUGUCGAGUUCAAAAUCGACUUAGUGCCAGGAGCUACCCCAGUAGCCAAAUCUCCUUAUCGUCUUGCACCGGCUGAGAUGCAGGAACUUUCCAGUCAACUUAACGAACUUCUCAAGAAGGGAUUCAUACGACCAAGCUUCUCACCAUGGGGAGCACCGGUCUUGUUCAUCAAGAAGAAAGAUGGAUUAUUUCGCAUGUGCAUCGACCAUAGAGAACUCAACAAAAUUACCAUUAAAAAUCGUUAUCCUUUGCCCCGCAUUAACGAUUUAUUUGAUCAACUUCAUGGAGCCAACUACUUCUCGAAGAUAGAUCUAGGAUAUGGAUAUCACCAACUACGAGUGUUAGAGGAGGAUGUUCCCAAGACAGCCUUCCGAACUCGUUAUGGACACUACGAGUUUGUGGUGAUGCCGUUUGGAUUUACCAACGCACCCGCAGUAUUCAUGGAUCUAAUGAAUAAGGUGUGUCGUCCUUACUUGGAUCAGUUCGUCAUCGUCUUCAUUGAUGACAUACUCAUCUACUCUCGAAGUAAGGAGGAACAUAGCCAACACCUCCAUAAAAUCUUAGAAACAUUGCGGUCGGAGAAGCUCUACGCGAAGUUCUCCAAGUGCGAAUUUUGGAUACGGCGAUUCGAAUUUUUGGGCCAUGUUGUUAGCGAAGAGGGAAUACACGUGGACCCUUCCAAAAUUAAGGCCAUUGAGAACUGGUCAGCACCGAAGACACCUAUAGAAAUUUGCCAAUUUCUAUGUCUGGCUGGCUACUAUCGCAGGUUCAUUUAGAACUUCUCCCGUAUAGGAAAACCUCUUACAACCCUGACCUAGAAGGGCGUAGCCUUUGGCUGGGAAGAGAAACAAGAAAGAGCAUUCCAAACGCUCAAACGAGCCUUGUGCACCGCACCUAUACUAUCCCUCCCCGAAGGGAUAGAGGACUUCGUUAUCUAUUGCGAUGCAUCAAAUGAAGGACUCGGAUGUGUUCUGAUGUAGCGAGGUAAAGUCAUAGCCUAUGCCUCGAGACAUCUGAAGACGCAUGAGGUUAACUACACCACCGACGAUCUUGAACUAGGAGCAGUUGUGUUUGCUCUGAAGAUCUGGCGACACUACCUGUAUGGUACAAAAAGCAUGAUCUUUACUGACCAUAAGAGUCUACAACACAUUUUCGACCAGAAAGAGCUCAACAUGAGACAACGACGGUGGGUCGAGCUACUCAGUGAUUAGGAGUGCGAUAUUCGUUAUCACCCGGGUAAAGCCAAUGUAGUAGCCGACGCCCUAAGUCAGAAAGAAUAUUCUGGUCGUAGGGUCAAAUCUUUGACUGUAACUAUCCAUUUACACUUGUCCACGCAAAAUAAAAAGGAUCAGCUCGACGCUUUGAAUCCUGAAAACGUGGCUGGUGAAUACCUUAGAGGAAUGGAUAAGAACUUGGAAAUCAAGGGUGGCGGAGCCUUGUAACUCAUGGAUCGGAUCUAGACACCGGAACACGGUGGCUUCAGAGACUUGGUCAUGACGGAAGCUCACAACACUCGUUAUUUCGUCCACCCGGGUUCAGAUAAGAUGUAUCUAGAUCUUAAAAAGUUAUACCGGUGGCCUAGCAUGAAGGCAGAUAUUGCUACCUUCAUCAGUAAAUGCCUUACUUGCGCAAAAGUCCUCACUUGACACCUAACAAUCUUACACCGUCCUUUUCAUCCAAACCACCAUCUACAUGUGAGUUCAUACCCCUAAUCAAUGUUUAAAUGAUUUUAAAUGCUUUAAUGGGGGGGGGGGGAAUACAAGUAGAAAACAGCAUGUUAUUAAAUCAUCUAUAUGUAUUUUAUAACUGUGUUUUCAUUCAACAGAUUUCACAUACUACAAAAUGUGAGGCAUGAAUGCUUUUCUAUCUUUAAAAUACUUUAUUAUCAAAUGUAUUACUUUUGAAAUGUUUAUCAAAAUGAUAUCAAGUCACUUUUAUAUUUGUUCAAAACCCUUAAAUCUCUUACAAAACCAUUUUACAUUCUUGAACUAAACUAUGCAUAUACACUUAUAUUCUGAUAUAUGUAUUGAUGUUAUAGUUUACAUCUUUCAUUUAGUUUCUCACACCCUUGAGUAGUAAGAGUGUUUAAACCUACUUGAACAACCAAUUACCAUUCAGUAAAUUAUCAUAGGGAUAAUUUGAAGAUAUCAAACAUUAUUCCUAUUACAAGGAAUCACACAAGAGUCAGUUCAUUCAUGAGUCUACACCAGUACAUUACCUGAUACAUGAGUACAUAUACAUAUGCUUACCUGAUACAUGAAUAUGUUUACAUAUACUUAUGUGAUACAUGAACACACUUACAUGAAUACCAUACAUGGGUGCAUUAUCCUGUAUUCACUUACAUGGAUACUUGUACUUAGAACUUCGAGGAAGAUUUAUUCGUACCUUCUGUGUAAAUUUUCCUGCCUAUCCCUGUUCGACGGGAUGUCUAGACGGGACUAACCAUUCUGGAACCCAACUGUUAGUACCACUGGAUGAAGAACAUCUACGGAUGACUAAGGUUAUCACAUAUCAUAGAUAUAUUGAUAUCAGAACUAACCAUUCCUCCAUCCUGAUGUUGAAACUGAGGAUGAGAUGAAAAUCUUCGGACGAUCAUUAGGUUACCACUUAUAUUAGGAGUCAGCUAUGGGACUAACCCUUCCUCCAACCUGUUGCUGCUACAGAGGACAAUUGGACCAUCUUUGGAGGUUCAUUAGGUUAUACAUAUCGCUUACUGCGAUAGCGUGUUAGUCCUGGUAUCGAGGGAUAACACUUUCAUGGUUAUUUUUUUCCUAUUUACUUUAUUUUGUGAUAUAUUCACAUAAACGAUGAGUUAGACUAAUUAUUGUUUGUAGUAGUCAAAAAGAAGGAAAAACUAUCAUUUUACUUACAAAACAUUCAGGUCUUGGUAGAAGACUACAUUAUCAUAACAAAACAUUCGGGUAUUGGUAGAAGACUACAUUAUCAUAACAAAACAUUUGGGUGUUGGAUGAAGACUACAUUGUCAUAACAAAACAUUCGAGUCUUGGUAGAAGACUACAUUGUCAUAACAAAUCAUUCGGGUCUUGGUAGAAGACUACAUCUCAAACUAAUAGAAAAUAAGGGAUUUUCUAGGGCUUUUCAUACUUACAUCAACAUUUUCAUUUAAAGGUUUACAUGACUUUUAAAACAACUUUUAGUAAGCAAGACAAUGACACGUAAAUACUUAUGAAUUCACCAGCUUUAAAGCUGAUACUCUCUUUCAAAAUAACUUGUAUUCUCAGGUCAUCAGUAGACAGGUACGGUGGCCAGGUUUUAAGAAGACGGAGCAGACAAGUCUCGUCUUUUAUUUUGAUUGUAUAUUUUUGGUGUCUUAUUACAAUGAAAGAACACACAUGUAUUAAAAAUUUACUUAUAAUGCAAUGGAUGAUGUUGUUGCUUGUUUACUAUUUUACACUGUUGUGAUACUGUACAUGACGUCCUCCACCCCGGAACGUUUCCACCGUUCUUGGUUUUGGGGUGUGACAUUGUAUACCACCCCUAUGUAUACAUUCUUCAGCGAUAGAUCAACCGUAUGGAACUUUGGAUUGAACUUGACGUACAGUACGAGUGGUACUUCAGGGAGGUGUGCUGAGAUUUCUUCGGAAAGGAUUAGAAACAUGAGGUACUCCAUGAAUGAGUACCUCGGUGUUCUGGAAUGACAGCUUCGCUAGCAAGACAAUUUCGGAGAAAGAGACGUGUGCACGAAACUGGUAUUUUGCGAAUCGAAUUGACUCUAGUGGUAUAAUAAUAUCGUACAUACUUGAAAGUAAAGGCACUAGAUUUGAACAUAAGGCGUUACAGACAAAACACAACAGUGCAACCUUUAACAGAUUUACUGUACUUUAAAUUUUAUACAAGACUAUUGCUGCGAACAAGGUAUACUACAAAAGACAAGUAUACGCAGCACGAGGGUUCCGUUACUGACGGGAUCUCACAAAAGAUAAGACUCCAGUUGCACUUGUUUUAAAUAGUUUAUAAGUCUGUUACAACGAAACACCUUAAUUACAUUAACAUGGGGCCGGAGUAGUCGCUCAUGCGGCAAUGAUCGUUAGUAUUUUCCCGCUUGCGCCGGAGUUCUUUGUUAUUGGACAAUCCUUCUUUAGGUGCCCAAUUUCACCGCAUUGGUGACAUAUCUAGCUGGCACUAACAUUGGUGGUGGAAGUGAUGUGUUGGAUCGGAGUUACGUAGACGUGGGUGCUUUCGUUUUUCUUCCUUUUUGGACAAUUCCUUUUAUAGUGUCCAGUCUCACCACAAUUAUAGCAACCCUGGCUGGCUCUGGUGGUGGGGGUGGUUCCACAAGAACGGGCAACAUGCCCCAGAAUGUUGCAAUUGAUACAUUGCAAUACCCGACAGUCUCCUUUAUGAUGACAACUACACUUGUUACACUUCGGGAGUGUUCCCUUAUAUUGCUUGCGUUCCUUUUGGGCUUGACGCUUCCGUUUCUUGAACUCUGAGUUGUGGCUUCGCGAGCCUGCGACUGUUAUCGUUUGUUUGCUUCCUGGAUUGAUACCACGAUCGGGAUUUUCAACCCCUUCGUCAGCAUUGCUUGCGUUGAUAGCGUUACGGUUUGCUAGGACAACUGUCACGGCAACCAUCACUACAACUGUAACUACGGCUUGGAAGGUAGCGGUGUCCAUAGGAAGGGCAGGGGUUUCGUUGUUCGGCUGACUAUUUCCGGACGACGACAUGAUUCUGUAACACGAAAGAUAAGGAUUUUGUGAGCGAUUUUGUACUUCGAUCGCUCAAGUAAAGAGUAAGAGUAUGUUCUCGAAAGUUUGACCUACAUCCCUAUGAUGCGGUCCUAGUACGGAUUGGAAGUUUGUUGAUGAAGGUUUGACCUACCUCCCUAUGAUGCAGUCCUAGUAAAGAGUGGAAGUAUGUUCAUAGAAUGGUCUUAAGACGCUUGGCAUUUAAAACAGGGUACCGUCGGUUGGUAAAUAACAUGAUCCAACCCGUGAAAAAGAAUUGGGAAUGAUCCCUGAGCUAAAUUUCCCUAGUUCAAUAACUCGACUAGGGUGGGCUUCAAAUAGACUCCCAUGAUAGCACGAUGAAAGUAUUUGAAUAAAGAAUAACACAGAAAGGUUAUUGCCACAUAAAGGCCAAACUAAAAGUACCUACCGUACAAGGUAGUUUCAUAGAAAGAUGCCACAUAGGACAUAGAUAGGAAAAACAAUUCCUCUCAACAUGGAAAGAAAGUAAGGCAUCUGCUACUGGUGACGGUCAUCCCUCUGGUGAACUCUCAGCUCGGCCAGUUGACGUUCCAUAUCAAAUAGGUGUCUUUCGUACACCCUCUAUCGUACUCGAAGUUCUAUGACUUUGGCUCGUGAUUCUUCCAGUGCUAGAAGUAGGGUUUCAUGGUCUCUCUCAGAUCUCUCACGAGCAUCUUCCAGACGAAUGGUGCGAAGGGUAUGCAUUCUCACAUUGGUGACAACUUCUGUGAUCUGAUGUAGGGCUGUCCUGCCUUGAAUCUCAUUUUGGGCCACUCUGCUGACCAGGAUUGGCAAGAUUCUGUCUGCUGAGACCCCUUUGCUCAGGUCAUAAAAGCUGUGGUCUGCAUUAAAUGGCUUUGGCUGAUCCUGUCCUUGGCUCCAUGUUUCCAAGCAUUCUACCCAAGGAGGCGUCGGGCCAUGAAAAGUCGGACGAGGGUUAGGAUCUGGAAAGGGAGCUGCAUGGGGUAGGUUCUCAACCUCGGUUUUGGAGUUAUCAUAAUCCGAAAUGUCUUCAGCAUGGUGAUUAUUCAAAGGGACUGGAUGAUCAUUCUCGGGUUCUUUUCCAAACCAUUCAGCAUUGCCUUCAUUCGGAAAGUACGGGUUGCCGUGGGGAUGGAGUCCAGCCANNNNNNNNNNNNNNNNNNNNNNNNNNNNNNNNNNNNNNNNNNNNNNNNNNNNNNNNNNNNNNNNNNNNNNNNNNNNNNNNNNNNNNNNNNNNNNNNNNNNNNNNNNNNNNNNNNNNNNNNNNNNNNNNNNNNNNNNNNNNNNNNNNNNNNNNNNNNNNNNNNNNNNNNNNNNNNNNNNNNNNNNNNNNNNNNNNNNNNNNNNNNNNNNNNNNNNNNNNNNNNNNNNNNNNNNNNNNNNNNNNNNNNNNNNNNNNNNNNNNNNNNNNNNNNNNNNNNNNNNNNNNNNNNNNNNNNNNNNNNNNNNNNNNNNNNNNNNNNNNNNNNNNNNNNNNNNNNNNNNNNNNNNNNNNNNNNNNNNNNNNNNNNNNNNNNNNNNNNNNNNNNNNNNNNNNNNNNNNNNNNNNNNNNNNNNNNNNNNNNNNNNNNNNNNNNNNNNNNNNNNNNNNNNNNNNNNNNNNNNNNNNNNNNNNNNNNNNNNNNNNNNNNNNNNNNNNNNNNNNNNNNNNNNNNNNNNNNNNNNNNNNNNNNNNNNNNNNNNNNNNNNNNNNNNNNNNNNNNNNNNNNNNNNNNNNNNNNNNNNNNNNNNNNNNNNNNNNNNNNNNNNNNNNNNNNNNNNNNNNNNNNNNNNNNNNNNNNNNNNNNNNNNNNNNNNNNNNNNNNNNNNNNNNNNNNNNNNNNNNNNNNNNNNNNNNNNNNNNNNNNNNNNNNNNNNNNNNNNNNNNNNNNNNNNNNNNNNNNNNNNNNNNNNNNNNNNNNNNNNNNNNNNNNNNNNNNNNNNNNNNNNNNNNNNNNNNNNNNNNNNNNNNNNNNNNNNNNNNNNNNNNNNNNNNNNNNNNNNNNNNNNNNNNNNNNNNNNNNNNNNNNNNNNNNNNNNNNNNNNNNNNNNNNNNNNNNNNNNNNNNNNNNNNNNNNNNNNNNNNNNNNNNNNNNNNNNNNNNNNNNNNNNNNNNNNNNNNNNNNNNNNNNNNNNNNNNNNNNNNNNNNNNNNNNNNNNNNNNNNAUUAAAACUUUUAAUCACAAAUCAUAAAUUUCAAAACAUGAGGACAAUUUUUAAACAUCUAAAACAUGGAGGAUCAUAAACCAAAUAAUUUUAAUUAACAACUAAUUCCAUAAUUAUCCAUAUUUGAUUUAUUUAAGAUUUCCUGCAAGAUAAUUACCAAUUUAAUGAAAAUAAUUAAUUAAUUAUCAUAUAAGGAAAUUAAAUAUUUUAUUAGUUGAUAAAUAUCUUUAAUUAGAUCAAGAUUAUAGUCAUAUAUAUNUUAUAUAUAUCAAAAAUUCGGAUUAGGGUUGAUCUAAUAUGAUAAAGGCAAGUUUCCAUAAGAUAAAUAUCAAUAAAUCCCGAAUCUGGCCCUUCCUGACGCUUGGACUCGCCGAGUGCACCAUGGGACUCGCCGAGUCAGGCCAACUCGCCGAGUCCACAAUGGGACUCGCCAACUCCAUGACUCAGAAACACAAAUUUCGAAUUUUGCAAGCAAGAUCCAAACAAACAACCAACAAUUUAAUAGAAACCAAUCUAGGCUCUGAUACCACUGAUGGGUUUUGGCCAUAUGAACAUUCCUAUGUGCACAUGCAAACCCUAAUGCUUGGAUCUAGGUUUCUCUAAUUAAACAUGCUUUGAAUCCAAGACUUCUAAUGACUAAUUAGGUAUAAGAACAAUACAAAAUCAGAUCUAGAAGUUUACCUUUGAAUCUCUUGCUUGAUCUUGUUGUCUUUGAGCUCUAGAGUCACAAUUGUCACUCCUCUAAUGGCUUACAAACACCAACUAGUAAGGAGGAUGAUUUGAGUGAGAGGUUAGGGAAGAAAUUCUACCAGGGUUUUCUUUCUUUAGAAGAGAUGCUGAUUUCACAUGCUUUAAGGGUCUAUUUAUACUUGUAGGCUCCUAGGGUUUCACCCUUAAACCCUAGUUGGAUAAUCUUUACCCAAAGCAAUCCAAAUCCUUACCAAAGAUAAUGCCUUGGACGAAUUUGAGGCUAUCCCAAGCCCUAGAAUUCGUCCAUCCUCUAUCCAUGGAGGAUUUACAGCCCAAAGUGUAACUAUCAAACAAUUGACAGUUUAUACCCUCUUAUUUAAUUAAUCUCUUUAAGUCACCAAAUUAAUACUAAUUAAUCUAUGACUUAUAUUAAUCAAAUAACAAUAUGAUUAUUCCUUAUAUUAUUCUCAUAAUAUAUUAAUAAUAUUUAUUCUCUCAUAAUAAAUCAUCCUAUCAAGUUGCUAUGGUGAAGGCAACCCAAAAGGACCAUGCACAAUCGGGUCAAAUACUUGCCUAAUAUAGUUGCAGCCUUAGACACUAUUCCAACAUUAUAGGGAUUAGAUAACUUUAGAAGGAUAUGUUUAACUCUAUUGUGCAGCUCUUNNNNNNNNNNNNNNNNNNNNNNNNNNNNNNNNNNNNNNNNNNNNNNNNNNNNNNNNNNNNNNNNNNNNNNNNNNNNNNNNNNNNNNNNNNNNNNNNNNNNNNNNNNNNNNNNNNNNNNNNNNNNNNNNNNNNNNNNNNNNNNNNNNNNNNNNNNNNNNNNNNNNNNNNNNNNNNNNNNNNNNNNNNNNNNNNNNNNNNNNNNNNNNNNNNNNNNNNNNNNAUAACAUCCUAGUUACAUAUAGCCUUAGUGUAUCCACUUAGCAACUAUCAACUUAGUAAUGAAGAUCCUUUUUAGUUCUCAAGUAAGUAAUUAUGGUAACACAAAACACCCCUAUGGUAUUUUAGACUUAGGUUCUGUUAUAAUGUUCUCAUUGUGGUAAUGUUGGUAAGUUUUUAGAAUUGUAGCUACAUCACAACCAUUCUUGGGCAUAUGCUAAUCACUCCUCGGACCAGCAUAGUUGAUCAGGCUAUGCCACUCCCAAGACUGACUAUACAUCCCCAAGCUUAGUUGUGAUAUUCAACAAUUGUAAUACUUUUGUUCUUGUCGUUGUGACACCGAUUUUAGUAUGAAUGCAGGCACGUAAACUUACUUAAAUAUUUUAUUAUUUAGAAGUAUAAACUCUAACUCAGAGUAUUUUUAAUCCCAUUGUAUUUAUAGUUAGUAUAUCUUUUAUGGGUUGAUAUACUUAAUUCACUAUAAACUAUGCUCUGAUACCAAUCUGUCACACCCUAAAACAGAGAACGGCGGAAACGUUCUGGGGCGGAGGAUGUCAUGUAAUGUAACACAACAAAUGUAAAGUAGUAAACAAGCAACAACAUCGUCCAUUGCAUUAAUAGUAAUAGUUUAAUACAUGAGUGUUCUUUCAUAGUAAUAAGAUAUUACAACAAGUAAUCAAAAAUAAAAGACGAGUCUUGACUGCUCCGUCUUCGCAAAACCUGGUCAUCGUACCUGUCUACUGGUGACCUGAGAAUACAAGUUAUUUUGAAAGUGUAGGUCAGCAUUUAAGCUGGUGAGUUCAUAAGUAUUUAAUGUCAUUGUUCGUAUAAGUUUGAUGAUAACAUUUGAAAUCGUUCAAUGUAAUUGUUUGUAUAUGUUUUGAAAACUCCUAGAAAAUCCCAUAUUUUCUACUAGUAUAAAAAGUCGUAUUCUACCAAGACCAUAAUGUUUUGAAAGUAGUCUUUAACCAAAACCUGAUCGUUUUGAAAGUAUUCUUUAGCCAAAACCUAAUUGUUUUGAAAGUAGUCUUUAACCAAAACCUAACUGUUUUGAAAGUAACAAAGAUGAUUUUCCCCUUUAUGACUACUAUUAACGAUAUGUAUAGUCUACUUCAUCGUUUACGUGAAUGUAUCACAAAAUNAAAGUAAUAGAAAUAUAGCCAUAUAAGUAUUAACUUUUUGUAUUAGGAUAAACACCACAUCGCAACUGCCGAAACGUUCUCACCGUGAAUAUCCGUAGAUGGUCAUUUUUCUCUGUAGCUACCAGUAGGUAGAAGGAAUGGUUAGUUCCUUAAAUGUCUUCCUAGUAUAAGUAUUAACCGUAGACAUCCGUAGAAGUCCAUUUACCUCUGUUGCUAACAACCGGGUUUAGGAAUGGUUAGUCCCUUAUUGUUUCUUACCACAUUGUAUCUAUGUAAAAGUAUCCCUAUAAGUGUAUCCAUGUAAGAGGAAUCUCUGUAAGAGUAUCCCUUUAUAUAGCAUGUAGUUUAGACUCAUGAAUGAACUGACAUUGGUGUAAUUUCUUGUAAUAGGCAUAAUGUUUUGUAUCCCCUAAACUAUUCCUAUAAUAGUUUACUAGCAUGUAAUUGAUGUGUGUCCAAGUAGGUUUAUACACCCUUGCUACCCAAGAGUGUCGGAACUGAAUUAACUGAUGGAUCAUUUAUGACUAUAUAUGUACACAUGAUAUAUAACUAAUAUUUAAACGACCUUCGGAAGAGUACCCGAUAUCCCACCAGACCACAUCCAAAUUGAGGAAAAGGAAACAGGGUGGAUAGCCUUCCUAAGUAUUUUAAACAUUUCUUAUAUAACUAUACAUAUAUACAGGCAUGCAAUUUAUAAUAUAAAAGCAUAAAAUAAGUUUUGUAAAACCUUUGAAAAGUUUAAUAAAUAAGAAUUUAUGACUUGAUGUCAAUUUAUAAAUCGGUUUGAAAGACCGUUUGACAAGACAGUUUAAGUGUGAGAAAACCUUUGUUUGAAGCACAACUAUAAUAGAUUUAAAAAGGAAACUUACAGUUUGUAAGAUAGUUUCUAAGAGUGUUUUCAACAUGUAAAAACGUUUGUGAAAACUAUUUGAAGUACAUAUGAAAAUGUUCGUUUGUUCUUGUAUAUGAAUGUAUCUCCUUGAAAUAGUAUUUCUAAUAAGUAAAUGUUCGUGAUGUUCUCGUAAAACUAUACCUAUUAUAGUUUUCUUUAAGUGUGUCUCGUUUGUAUAGUAAUCCCUAGUAAAAUGUUCACUUGUUAUGAAAAGUAUAAUUUUUAUAGUGUCUAAGAUCGACACAUAAACAUACAGUAAUAGCAGAGUGUUUGAUUUAUACAUAUAUAACAACCUUUUCAUUUCAAAAGAUAUGAUGUUAUCGUGAUACAUUUUGCAUAUGAAAGUUUCCUUAUAAUAGUUAUAAAUCACAUAUGAUUCCAUUCAUAAAAAGUGUAUAAUGAAACUUUAUAUAACACACGAAAAUUACCGUGUAUUUUAAUUGUAUUCCCCCACUUGAAAGCAUAUAAAAUCAUUUAUAAAACAUUUAAAAGUAUGGAUUAUAGGGGUAUGAAAUCACUUGAUAGAUUGAAGAAAAGUGAGACGAAAACCGAGAAGAACUUCUACUCAAGCAAGCGGAUUUCUCGGGAUUCUCGGGAAUCUCGGGAGCGUAAAACUUCCUUCCCAACUUGGAUAUGAAAACCGGGCCUUUGGGAUGACUCCGAGGGUUGAAACGCAGAGCUUCGGCGCGAGAAAGUAUGGAAUGGAGCAAAAAUGGUUGGCACCCUCGCAUCCCUUAUAUAGUGGCUGGAGGACCUCGGUAGGCUGGGUGUACGAGAGCACGCGGGGCGUACUCAUGCGUCAUACAUGAGCGAAUCCUCGGUCGAAGCAUCAGAGCAACGUGGUUGAAUUGAGGCUGAGCAUCUGAGUACGCUGGGCAUACGAGGGUACGCUGGGCGUAACCUGGAUUGGUCCGAUUACUCGUCCUUCGGAUAAUACCGGAUUUUAAAUUUAAUUAUUUAGUAAACUUCAAAAAUUCAUAUUUUUCUCAUGCGAACUCCGUUUUCGACGUUCUUUAUAUCCACGCGAAGGUGAGACUAUGAUCUACAACUUUCGUUUAGACUCCAUCGACAAAUCUUGACUUUAUUUUUGAUAUUAUAAUUUAAUAGGUCGGAACAGGAAAAAUCCGUUAAAGUUCCAUAACUUCUUCAUCCGAUGUCCGUUUUCGUCAGACAUUUUACCGAUGCGCUUCUAUUGUUGAGAACUUCGAUUCUCAUUUAGUUUGUGUCGGCUAAAAGUCUCUCGAUCUCUAUCUCGAGUUUUUAGCUGUCUACGGAUAUAUCCGUAACUUAGAAAAACCAUAACUUCGUCAUACGAAGUCAGAUUUGGACGUUCUUUUCAUGUACGUUUACAGUUUAAUAAUAUCUAAAACUUUCAUUUAGAUACCUAAGGCUAAAAAUUAUUGUAUUGAAACUUCGCGUUUUACGUCUAUCAGUGUUGUCGGUUUUGCCGAGAAUUUUCGGUUGGUCAUAACUUCUUCAUUACAUCUCGGAUUUUAGGAUUCUUUAUAUGUAUGAAAACCUUGAAACGAUUCCUACCACUUUAUUUAACCCAAAUACGAUUUUUGGAAAAUUAAAUUUUUACCUAUAUUAGACUGGUGUUACAUUUCAUUGUCUCGAAAUAUGAGGUUGUCACAAUUACAUAAUCCCUCCUCUAAGUUAUAAAAUAGUUUUUUGGGUCCUAGCCUUAAUAUUUCAUAUUGGGUGUUAUAUUAAGGACUUUAAAUCAACUAUCUUGAAUAUCUCCCAAAAGAUGUCUAGUUCAGACAUCUAUGAUCUUCCCAAAUAUCUUGGAACUUCACUUCCUCCACCUCCUCCAAUUAUUCUCCCUAACCCACAAGUUCAAGGUCACUCAAGCCCUAUUGGCAAGGCAAGGUCUAGGUGUGAUCACAUCUUGGAGAUGAAGUCACAUACUGACAAGCCGGGAGAGUUGGGUGUCAAAGUCUUAAGAAAGUUAGUGGUUCAAUCACUUUCUAAGUCACAUAGUGAGUUCCUUUGGGACACCUAUGAAACAGACUAUGACAAGACCCUUAAUGAUCUUAUCUAUUUGCUUUGUGCUGCUAAAUCAGAAAUGAUUUAGUGUACUAGUAAAGCAAAUUUGAUUAGGAGAUCAACUUCCCAAAACUUUAUGGACAGGGACAAUAGUGACACAGGAAAUCCAGAAAAGCAUUCUCUUCCCAAUGGAAAGGGAUCGGCCAUAGUCAACUCGGUUGACCAAAUGGUAAAGAGAAAGGCUAAGUCUGAGAUAGUCCCAUGUACUAUUACCUAAGGGUCCAUAUGUUCCUAUUGCCAACAGGAAAGGGUAUUGGUUGCGAAGCUGUCAAUUUUACCUGAAAGAUCAUAAGGCUAGUAAAGUCAAUAAGUUUGACUCUAUUUCAGGUAUGGUCCACUAUCUAACUCAGUUAAGUUUCUAUUCUGAGAUAAUUAUUACAAGAUGCGACUGGGUCACAUGUUGAUGUUUAAGAAUCAAAGGAAAAGAGAAGGAAACUUAAAGAAAGAGUAUGUUGAAUCUGAUCGCGAAGAUGGAUUUCUAUCGGUUGAUUUAAGAUUGGAUUCUUGAGCUACUCUUAGGAGUUAUGAUAGAUUGCUAGGAAACAAGUAAUUACAUAGUUUUCAUUUCAAGUUACAUUGUAAGGAAAAAGUUUUUUCCACAUUUUAAAAUAAAUAAAAGUUUGUUUUACUUUAUUUUUAUCUCCUUACAAUGGCAUUCAUGAAAACUUGAUGUUUGUAUGUUUAUAGCAAUAUUGGAAAUAUGAAUUUGAUUCGUUCAUUUGUGGUAGUGUCUAAAUUUACCAAAUAAGGAAAGAUUCUCAUCACGAAAGUUUCAAUUGGACCGAAGCUUGGAAUCAUGCAAGUUGUAUAGUAUGAUGAAUGAGAACUUUUGAGCAUUAGAAAAUUAAGACUAACUACUUGUUCACAUGGAUCUAUGAGUCAAGAGAAGGACUAAGGGAUCAAGUACACUUUCUUAUGCACUUGUAAAAUUCCACCACAAAAGAUAGAUAACACUAUUCGUCAUGAUUUACUAAGGUUUAGUAAAUAUGAUUAUACAUACAAGCUUAAGUAUAAUUCUGAAACAUUGGAAAAUUUUCAAUGUAUGACAGAACGAAUAAGAAGAAUCAAAUUAGGCAGAAGGAUAAAAGUUUCUCAAAUAUGAAAAGAUGGGAUAGUACUUUAGUAUCAUGUUGUAAGGUCAUCUUAAUAAUUUUGAGACCUUAUCACAAUUCAUCCUCUAAGUACAUUCUGAUAGUUAAGAAGAGGAGUUAUAAAUUGUUGAAGUGGUUAACUCAUGAAGAUGAUUCAUACUUCAUUCGAAAAUAAUUCAUAGAGUUAUACUCUAAGAUUGUAACUUGAGUGACAUGUCUUAAAAAACGUUUAAAACCCUUGUCAAAUAUAAGAGUAAAAGUUUUCUACUCUUGUACAUUUGAAAUUGGUAAGUUGUGAUGUUUUGGAUAAAACAAAGACCAACUAAGGCUAAUUGUGUUAUGUGUCUAUCUUGAUUAGAAUCCACACUAUCUCUUGAAUAUUUGGCAAAAUUCGUAUAGGUCAAGGAGACAGCGGGAGUCUAAAAGAUCCUGAAAAAGGUUUCAAGAAGUAAUCAAGAAUAAAACCUGUAUUUCAUCGUAGCACAGAAGUAGAGGUUUAUAAUCUAUCGUGCUGACAUUUUUGUACCCAUUCCAGUUAAGUUAGCUAUACAUUUGAGUUCUAUAUGUUCUCAAUUGUUUGCAUAACUACUUGGAAGCAAAGGCAUGCCCUUGAGCUGCCAAGUGGCAAGAAGUUAGGAUUGCACAAGUUCAAUACAUAUGAGUUUGGAUUUGUCAUUAUCCUUGUCUUGUGACUAUGGUUUUGACAAUUCACAUGGAUAAGAAAACAUACACCAUUAAGUUUAAGUUUCAUAAGGUUUCUCUUCGAUUCAUGAAAAUGAUGGUAAGGAAACUCUUUCACUAAGUAGAUUUUGAGUAGAUAACAAUUGUGGGAAUGACAAAAGGUCUAAACAUUAUGAUUACAACAUCCCUCUUAAUAAUUCUUUAGACACACAUGUGAGCAAUCUAGUAUCAUAAAUCUAAACUUUGGUAAGAAAGUCAAUAAAGUAUUGAUUUCUAGAAGUUCAGUUGAUUUUUGGGUACAUGUCAAAGCUAGUGGGAGCAUAAGUGUUAUGCUAAUAAUCAUCAUGUUAGUGGGAGCAUGAUAAUUAUGAUAAGUAUUGUGUAACACUCGUGUUUCUAGCCUAGGCAUUUAUAUUGAGGUGAUAGUCUAGGUUAACCGUUAUAACUCAUUUUGAACAAAUGAAAAGGAAUUAUGUGAAUUAUGUGUUUUAUGCUUAAUUAUUUGGGCUUAAUUAAUUAAGAAUAAAAAUAAGUGUCAAAAUUAAAGUGUGAGAUAAUCCCGAUAUCUUUACAUAAAGUUGUGUGGUCGAAACAAGGAUUUCGGGGAUAUAAAGAAUACCAAAAUCCGAGUUAUAACGAAGAAGUUAUGACCUGUCGAAGUUUCGCAACAAAACCGGCACGGUGCUGAAUAUCGUAAAAAGUGAGUUUUUGGUAAACUACUUUUUAGCCUUAGUGAUCUAAACGAAAGUCGUAGUAUUCGUUAAUCCGAGAAGUUCUAUAAAAAGAACGCCCAAAUCUGACUUCGUAUGAGGAAGUUAUGAUUUUUCGAAGUUUCAGCUUAACAAUAGACAUCUACAAACUCGAAUUUUAGAUCGAGCAAUUUUUAGCCGACACAACCUAAAUGGGAAUUGAAGGUCUCGUCAUUAGGAGCACAACGGUAAAAAGUUUGACAAAAAUGGAUGUCGGAUGAAGAAGUUAUGAAUUUUUAACGGAUUUCCUCUCCCGGUCUGUAAAAAAUAAUAAUAUAAAAUUUAAAGUCAAAAUUAGCUGACGAAGUCUGAACGGAAGUUGUAGAGCGUAAUUUUAGCUAUGUGUGCAUAUAAAGAACGUCAAAAAUGGAGCUCGUAUGCGAAAGUUAUGGAUUUUAGAAAUUUUGGCGCGAAAAUCAAGAAAAUUCACAUAGUCACAUUUUUCCAUGUCACCUUCGUUGAAAGAGUGCCACGUGUCCUGCUGGGUCACCAAGCUGCUGAGUCACCAAGCUGCUGAGUCACCGAAGCUACUGAGUCAUGCGAAUCCACGUGUCAGAUUCUGAUUUGACCGAAGGGAGGUCCAAUCCGAGGCUCGCAUCUGGACCGAACCUCGCAUCGCCUAGCACCGAGCCUCACACAUAGGUUAUGACUCCGUCGUCCAAUCAGCGAGUGCCACCGAGACCCUCGCACGUGCUAACCACCUGCGCACCGGAGCUGACUUUGGACACACGCUUCGGACCAAUCACAAGAAGCCAACAGCCCCUUCGCACAUGCUACCCACAUGCGAGCCACCCCCUGCGAAGCCUCUCUGCCGUCGGAUCAGGAGCUUCUCAGCCGUUGCAUCAGGACUUCGCACCCUAUAAAUAGAAGGGUACCUGCGAAGCCUCUUGGUUACUUUUGGAAUUUUGCCAUAUUUAGCCCCUUUCUUCAUAUUUUCUUGAUCUUAGAAUCCCCUAAAGCCCCAGUAUCGAUUAUAAGCCCCGGAAUACGCCACGAAGUGCCCGAGAAGCCCAGAAAAUUUAUCUUUUCGAUUUCAAAGCCCGACUUUUGCAAAGCUCGGUUUCUCAAUAAAACUCCCAAUUUUAUUAGAAACGAUCGUUUUAGGAAACGAAUUGCUGCCUGAUUAUCAUCAAAUCAUCUGAGUGUAUAGUCACUUUCAUUUUACACAUAGAUAUGAAGUAUUUACCUUAUAAUAAGUGAUAUGUGUAAAUAUAUUAAUUGUUUAUUUGAGGUGAUUGUUGUGUUGAUGUUUUAUACAAGUUUUAAACUGUAUAAGUAUUUUUAUCUACAAAUAUGUUGGGUAGAACAUGGGUAGAUAGUGAUGUGUGAUAAAAUAAAAUUGAUGAGAGGCCUCGAUGUGUUUUGAGAUCCAGUCAUCUAGCGGAGUUUGGAUGACGACCACGGACUUUCUAGACAGUCCAGUGGGAAACAUUAGCAGGUCCGCAACCUGUAGGUGUUAACGAACUAAGAGUGUUCAUUCGCUGUACUCCAUCCCCCUCAUGGUUGCCUUUAGGACAUGUAUGGCUGAGGAAACCCCUUAGCAGUAGUGUCCAUCCCGAUGAUAUUCUUUAGGCUAGGUCCCUUGUGAAAAGUGUUUAGGGAUGUAAAGUGAGGAUAACAGGAACGGGUAAUCAGGGUUAUUGUUGAUUGGUGAACUUAAUAAGUUUAUUAUUAUUGUGGGUUGAAAACCCUAUAUGCUCACCAGGCUCCCAAGCCUGACCCACUCAGCUUUUUAUGUUACAGGUAGUGGACCCCGAGCAUAGUCGGAGGACGACGAGAGAUUUUUGGAUUAUAGGCCAGUAGUUGUAAAUAACUGUUGAAAGGCUUAUAAUGUCUUGUUUAUGCUUUUGAUCUGUAUCGGAACAUGACAUCCCGAGGUUUUGAUAUAUAUAUAAAAUAUAUACCUUCUUAAUGAAGGGUUUUGAUAAACUUUUAUCAUAUGUUGUUUGGGGACCAAUUCCGCAACAUCUUUUAAAAAGAUUUCUCUGAUUUUAUUUUAAAAAGCAUAAAUUAAAUCGGUCUUUUCUGGCCGAGAAAUUAGGGGAUGUCACANCUGUUGAAAGGCUUAUAAUGUCUUGUUUAUGCUUUUGAUCUGUAUCGGAACAUGACAUCCCGAGGUUUAUAUAUAUAUAUAUAUAUAUAUAUAUGGAAAAUAUAUACCUUUUUAAUGAAGGGUUUUGGUAAACUUUUAUCACAUGUUGUUUGGGAACCAAUUCCGCAACAUCUUUUGAAAAGAUUUCUCUGAUGUUGUUGUAAAAAGCAUAAAUUAAACUGGUCUUUUUUGGCCAAGAAAUUAGGUGAUGUCACAUAUUGCAAGUUAGCAAUGUUAAUUAUAGAAAACAAAAGUUUCAAUUUGUGAGGUUGCAAGGGUUGAAAAAGUUGUUUUGCUAUAAUUAAGGGAGAGGAAAUUAUACUUCAUCUCAAAUCUAAAAGCUUAGAUUGAGGUCUUAAUCGUAUUUAGUCAAGAAUAUAUAUGAAUUUCAUGUUGGGAUGGCUCAACAUAAGGAAAUUCUAUAUAUGGAUUCAUUAUUUCCAUUCUAAAAUUCGAUUAUGAUUACGGCAUCCCUUUUCAUAAUCUGAAUUAUUAGAACAUGGCAAAUAGAAAUGGAAAUAUUAUAGCAAAAUACUGGUUUAGUCUUUAUGUGAGACAUCAUGAAUCGUGUCCCAUAUGCUUCGGAUAUAGGUUCGAUUACAUGUGCUAUAUUCACUCUUUCUAAGGUUUUCCAAAUGCCUGGGGCAUGAAGAAGGGAAAAAGGUCUAGAAAUUGAUAUGACUAAAAUUAUUAAGCACUUGUUGAGGACAAUCUAAGUUUUACCAAAGAUUGUUUUCUCAAGGACAGUUGGAAGUAUAGUAUUAAUUCUGGAAGGACCNNNNNNNNNNNNNNNNNNNNNNNNNNNNNNNNNNNNNNNNNNNNNNNNNNNNNNNNNNNNNNNNNNNNNNNNNNNNNNNNNNNNNNNNNNNNNNNNNNNNCACGUUUCUACUACUAUCUAAUCUAUGCUAAUAUCAUCCUUCAGCGCAAUACUCUUAGCAUUCUGCAAGUGCUUAAACCUACUCAGUCCCUUCGUAAGUGGAUCUGCUGGGUUAUCUUCUGAUGAUAUCCUCUUCACUACGACUUGUCCUUCUUUUACACGAUGUCUAAUACAGUGAUAUUUUAUGUCGAUAUGUCUAGAUCUACCAUGAUCCCUCGGUUCCUUGGUCAAGGCAACCGCUCCUUCAUUAUCACAGAAAAUCUCCAUGGGCUCCUUUAUGGCAGGUACAACUCCAAGAUCACUGAUGAAGUUCUUCAACCAUAUUGCCUCCUUCGACGCUUCGCUCGCUGCAAUGUACUCUGAUUCGCACGUUCAAUCAGCUACGGUUUCUUGUUUGGAACUUUUCCAAGUCACUGCUCCUCCAUUCAGGGUAACGACCCAGCCUGACUGCGAACGGUAGUUGUCCCUGUCGGUUUGAAAGCUGGCGUCACUAUACCCUCGCACCUUCAAGUCAUCACUCGCUCCAAGGACUAAGAACCAUUCCUUCGUCCUCCAAAGGUACUUAAGGAUAUUAUUAACCGCAAUCCAAUGAGCUCUACCAGGGUUCCCUUCAUAUCUGCUAACCAUGCUCAGAGCAAAGGCUACAUCAGGGCGAGUACAAGUCAUAGCGUACAUGAUUGAGCCAACUGUGGAAGCGUAUGGUACUCGGCUCAUUUCUGCUAUUUCGGCUUCGGUACUCGAACUUUGAGUCUUACUCAACUUGGUAUUACUCUGUAUCGGUAAUUCUCCCUUCUUCAAGUUUUCCAUACUAAAACGUUUUAGUACCUUCUCUAAGUAAGUGUUCUGACUAAGUCCUAUUAUUCUUUUACUUCUUUCUCUCACUAUCCUUAUUCCCAAAAUAUAGGAAGCCCCUCUGAGGUCCUUCAUAGCGAAGCAGUUCCUGAGCCAGGACUUAAUCUCCUGCAGAGUCGGGAUGUCGUUUCCUAUGAGUACUAUGUCAUCGACAUACAAAAGAAGGAAGCUUACUAUACUCCCACUAGCUUUGACAUAUACACACGAUUCAUCUUCGCUUCGUGCAAAUCCAAACUCUUUGACUUUCUCAUUGAAGCAAAGAUUCCAUCUGCGAGACGCUUGCUUAAGUCCAUAAAUGGACUCCUCAAGUUUACACACUCUAUUUGGAUGCUUCGGAUCCACAAACCCCUCUAGCUGAGCCAUGUAAACAUCCUCAACCAACUUCCCGUUAAGGAAAGAGGUCUUGACAUCCAUUUGCCAAAUCUCAUAAUCAUGAAAUGCGGCAAUAGCUAGCAUCACUCUAAUAGAUUUUAUCUUCGCAACUGGUGAGAAGGUCUCAUCAUAGUCAACUCCGGGAGUUUGAGUAAAGCCCUUCGCAACCAAUCGUGCUUUAUAUGUGUGUACGUUUCCAUCCACGUCGGUCUUCUUCUUGAAGAUCCAUUUGCACCCAACGGUCUUACGUCCGGGCACAUAAUCAACCAAAUUCCAAACUUGGUUAUCAUACAUGGAUUGGAUCUCGCUAUCCAUUGCCUCUUUCCAUUUUGCAGACUCCGGGCCUGCCAUGGCUUCCUUAUAGCUAUUAGGUUCAUCAAGAUUUACUAGUGUACCAUCACUAAUAUACGUGUCCCCUUCGGUAGUAAUAUGAAAACCAUAAAACUGGGGUUGAACUCUAACUCUAUCGGAACGUCUAAGAGGUAAGGAUUCGUCAAUUGGUUCAACCGGAGUUUCCUCCUCGGGUUGAGUGCCAGUGGUAGAGGUUCCCUCAUCUAUCGACUCUUGAAUCUCUUCAAGCUUGAUUUGCAUCCCACUGUCUCCUUGGUCUAUGAGUUCUCGCUCUCGGAAAACUCUUCUCCUCGCAACAAAGANNNNNNNNNNNNNNNNNNNNNNNNNNNNNNNNNNNNNNNNNNNNNNNNNNNNNNNNNNNNNNNNNNNNNNNNNNNNNNNNNNNNNNNNNNNNNNNNNNNNGAUCGAACUACGUCUAGGUUCAACCAUACUCGCUCACAAAUUCAUGCUUUUUCCAUGUAACAGAAUCAUGUCUCCAAAGAAAAACGAUCAACCCACCAACCAAACACCAACUCUUCAGAUUGAUGCAGCUACCUUUCAAGUUGCAGUCUCGGCUGUCGUGUCAACUGUUCUGACCCACCUUAAUGCUAACAAAGUGAAUGUUAGCGGGAUUAUUAACAAUAAUUCCAAUCCAAGUAACAAUCAAGUACCUCAACGAGCAACAAACUACCAGGACACCCCGAAUCACAAGCCCAAGAAUAACAAAUGAAAGUUCUGGGCUAAGGCUAAAGGCAAAUCACCCCAAGGGGGCGAGCAAAAGACAACAACCGGUGGCAACCUUCGCAACCACGACUUCUGUACCUCCUACUACCAUCCCUUCUAGUAUCCCAGUUAUCCCUAAUCUGGCCAGACAGUAUGCUAGCAAUCUCCUAAAGUGCAACAAAUGCAACUAUCACCAUCAUGGACCUUGUCGGAAAAUGCAGUGCUUAAACUGCAAUAAAAAGGGACACACCGUCCGUUACUGCAAGAAUCAGAUCCAACACAUUACUUUAACCACCAAUGUCGAACUCUCUCGAAUAUGCCAUCUAUGUGGCGUAAUGGGACACUUCAAGAGGGAUUGUUCAACAUAGAAGAACAACGACAAAUCCAUAGGAGUUUGACCUCAGAAUGGAAAGAGGCAACGAAGGACCCUACUAUAGUUAAGGGACCCUCGUGCUGUGUCUACUUGCCUUUUGUAGUAUACUUUGUUCGCAGCAGUUCUCCUGUAGUUACUCUAAAGUAUUGUAACUCUGUUAGCAGUUGCACUGUUGUGUUUUCUCUAUAAUGCCUUUAUGUUCAAAUCCGAUAUCUUACACUUCUAAGUAAGUCCAACAUUAUCAUACGAAUGGAGUCAAUUCGAUCCGCACAAUACCAGUUUCAUGCGUACGUCUCCUUCUCCGUAAAUGUCUUUCUAGCGAAGACGUCAUAAUCAGUAUGAAUUGGUUGAGUCUACAUCAAGCCGAUACCAAGCACUUUGGGAAAGCAAUUCAUCUUAACCUCCCUAUCAAAGAACCUCUUGUUACUUACGGAGACAAAUCAAGUACGAACCUACGCAUUAUUUCGUGUAUUUAAGCUCAAAAGCACUUACGAAGGGAAUAUCACACAUUCCUUGCACACAUCGUCGAUACGAGCCAAUAAGUGAAGGACAUUCAGAACAUCCCAAAAGUACUCGACUUUCCCAACACCUUUCCAAAAGAACUAUCGGGAUUACCACCACAACGUCAAUUCGAGUUCAGAAUCGACUUAGUUACAAGGGCUACCCCAGUAGCCAAAUCACCUUAUCGUCUAACUCCAACUAAGAUACUGGAACUUUCCAGAAAGCUUAACGAACUCCUCAGAAGACGAUUCUAUAGGCCAAGUUUCUCACUUGGAGGAGCACCGAACUUGUCUAGAAAGUGCGUUCCUAAUGCUAAGUAAGCCUGGGGCACCGCACCGAUAUUGUCCCUCUCAAAGGGGAUAGAAGAUUUCGUUGUGAAAGGUGAUGCAUCCAACCAAGGGCUUGAUUGCAUUCUUAUACAAGAGGAAAGGUCACUGCCUAUACCUCAAGACAGCUUAAGACGUAAGAAGUUAACUAUACAACACAUGAUCUUGAGUCAGGAGCAACGGUAUUUGCUUUGAAGAUCUAGAGUCACUACUUGUAGGGUACAAGGUGUACUAUUUUCACAGACCACAAAAACAUUCAACAUAAAUUCGACCAAGAAGAGUUAUCACACCAGUGAAGUCAAAUAAAUAAAACAAAGUUGUAUCCCGAUAGUGAAAGGCUCGCUAGAAUGCCAAGCGAGGACCUGAGUUCACCUGGGAACGCGAUCAUCAAAUAGAACUUAUAUCCGUAGCGUAGUAUCAAUUCUGCUUAAACUCUAAUUUUGGGACGAAAUUCCAUCUAACGGGGGGAUGAUGUGACAACCCAAUAUUUCAAGACAAUGAAAUGUAACACCAGUCUAAUAUAGGUAAAAUUUUAACUCUCCAAAAAUCGUAUUUGGGUUAAAUAAAGUGGUAGGAAUCGUUUCAAGGUUUUCAUACAUAUAAAGAACCCUAAAAUCCGAGUUUUGACGAAGAAGUUAUGACCAACCGAAAAUUCUUGACAAAACCGACAACACUAAUAGACGUAAAACGCGAAGUUUCAAUACAAUAAUUUUUAGCCUUAGGUAUUUAAAUGAAAGUUUUAGAUAUCAUUAAACCGUAAACGUACAUGAAAAGAACGUCCAAAUCUGACUUCGUAUGAGGAAGUUAUGAUUUUUCUAAGUUACGGAUAUAGCAGUAGACAGCUAAAAACUCGAGAUAGAGAUUGAGAGACUUUUAGCCGACACAAACUAAAUGACAAUCGAAGGUCUCAACAAUAGAAGCGCAUUGGUAAAAUGUCUGACAAAAACGGACGUCGGAUGAAGAAGUUAUGGAACUUUAACGGAUUUUUCCUGUUCCGACAUAUUAAAUUAUAAUAUUAAAAAUAAAGUCAAGAUUUGCCGAUGGAGUCUAAACGAAAGUUGUAGAUCGUAGUCUCACCUUCGCGUGGAUAUAAAGAACAUUGAAAACGGAGUUCGUAUGAGAAAGAUAUGAAUUUUUGAAGUUUACUAAAUAAUUAAAUUUAAAAUUCGUUAUUAUCCGAAGGAGGAGUCAUCAGACCAAUCCAGGUUACGCCCAGCGUACUCGGAUGCUCGGCCUCAAUUCGUUCACGUCGCUCCGAUGCUUCGACCGAGAAUGCGCUCAUGCAUGACGCAUGAGUACGCCCCGCGUACUCUCGUAUGCCCAGUGUACCGAGGUCCUCCAGCCACUAUAUAAGGGAUGCGAGGGUGCCGGCCAUUUUUGCUCCAUUCCUUCCUUUCUCGCCCCGAAGCUCUGCGUUUCAACCUUCGGAGUCAUCCCAAAGGCCCGAUUUUCAUAUCCAAGUUGGGAAGGAAGUUUUACGCUCCCGAGAUUCCCGAGAAUCCCGAGAAAUCCGCUUGCUUGAGUAGAAGUUCUGCUCGGUUUUCGUCUCGCUUUCUUCAAUCUAUCAAGUGAGUUCAUACCCCUAUAAUCCACACUUUUAAAUGUUUUAUAAAUGUUUUUAUAUGCUUUCAAGGGGGGAAUACAAGUAAAACACACGAUAAUUUUCGUGUGUUAUAUAAAGUUUCAUUAUAAACUUUUUAUGAAUGGAAUCAUAUGUGAUUUAUAACUAUUAUAAGGAAAUUUUCAUAUGCAAAAUGUAUCACGAUAACAUCAUAUCUUUUGAAAUGACAAGGUUGUUAUAUAUGUAUAAAUCAAACACUCUGCUAUUACUGUAUGUUUAUGUGUCCAUCUUAGACACUAUAAAAAUUAUACUUUUCAUAACAAGUGAACAUUUUACUAGAGAUUACUAUACAAACGAGACACACUUAAAGAAAACUAUAAUAGGUAUAGUUUUACGAGAACAUCACGAACUUUUACUUAUUAGAAAUACUAUUUCAAGGAGAUACAUUCAUAUACAAGAACAAACGAGCAAUUUUAUAUGUAUUUCAAAUAGUUUUCACAAACGUUUUUACAUGUUGAAAACACUCUUAGAAACUAUCUUACAAACUAUAAGUUUCCUUUUUUAAAUCUAUUAUAGUUGUGCUUCAAACAAUGGUUUUCUCACACUUAAACUGUCUUGUCAAACAGUCUUUCAAACCGAUUUAUAAACUGACAUCAAGUCAUAAAUUCUUAUUUAUUAAACUUUUCAAAGGUUUUACAAAACUUCUUUUAUGCUUUUAUAUUAUAAAUUGCAUGCCUCUAUAUGUAUAGUUAUAUAAGAAAUGUUUAAAAGACUUAGGAAGGCUAUCCACCCUGUUUCCUUUUCCUCGAUUUGGAUGUGGUCUGAUGGGAUAUNGAUUUGGAUGUGGUCUGGUGGGAUAUCGGGUACUCUUCCGAAGGUCGUUUAAAUAUUAGUUAUAUAUCAUGUGUACAUAUAUAGUCAUAAAUGAUCCAUCAGUUAAUUCAGUUCCGACACUCUUGGGUAGCAAGGGUGUAUAAACCUACUUGGACACUCAUCAAUUACAUUCUAGUAAACUAUUAUAGGAAUAGUUUAGGGGAUACAAAACAUUAUGCCUAUUACAAGAAAUUACACCAAAGUCAGUUCAUUCAUGAGUCUAAACUACAUGCUAUAUGAAGGGAUACUCUUACAGAGAUUCCUCUUACAUGGAUACACUUAUAUGGAUACUCUUACAAAGAUUCCUCUUACAUGGAUAUACUUAUAUAGAUACUCUUGCAGAGAUUCCUCUUACAUGGAUAUACUUAUAUAGAUACUCUUAUUACAGAGAUUCCUCUUACAUGGAUUAACUUAUAGGGAUACUUUUACAUAGAUACUAGGUGGUAAGAAACAAUAAGGGACUAACCAUUCCUAAACGCGGCUGUUAGCAAUAGAGGUAAAUGGACAUCUACGGAUGUCUACGGUUAAUACUUAUACUAGGAAGACAUUUAAGGAACUAACCAUUCCUUCUACUUGCUGGUAGCUACAGAGGAAAAUAAACAUCUACGGAUAUUCAGGGUGAGAACGUUUCGGCAGUUGCGAUGUCGUGUUUAUCCUAAUACAAAAAGAUAAUACUUAUAUGGCUAUAUUUUCCCUAUUACUUUUAUUUUGUGAUACAUUCACGUAAACGAUGAAGUAGACUAUACAUAUCGUUAAUAGUAGUCAUAAAGGGGAAAAUCAUCUUUGUUACUUUCAAAACAGUUAGGUUUUGGUUAAAGACUACUUUCAAAACAGUUAGGUUUUGGUUAAAGACUACUUUCAAAAUAGUCAGGUUUUCGUUAAAGACUACUUUCAAAACAUUCAGGUCUUGGUAGAAGAUGACUUUUUAUACUAAUAGAAAAUAUAAGUUUUUCUAGGAGUUUUCAAAACAUAUACAAACAAUUACAUUGAAUGAUUUCAAAUGUUAUCAUCAAACUUAUACGAACAAUGACAUUAAAUACUUAUGAACUCACCAGCUUAAAUGUUGACCUACACUUUCAAAAUAACUUGUAUUCUAAGGUCACCAGUAGACAGGUACGAUGACCAGGUUUUGCGAAGACUGAGCAGUCAAGACUCAUCUUUUAUUUUUGAUUACUUGCUGUAAUAUCUUAUUACUAUGAAAGAGCACUCAUGUAUUAAACUAUUACUAUUAAUGCAAUGGACGAUGUUGUUGCUUGUUUACUACUUUACAUUUGUUGUCAUACAUUACAUGACGUCCUCCGCCCAGAACGUUUCCGCCGUUCUCGGUUUUGGGGUGUGACAGUAAUCCAAGCUAUAAAAUAUUUGAAGGUAGGUGAAUGACGAUUCACCAAUUUCCACCAUGAAAAACGAAAUAAUUUAUUAGGUUUUAAUUGGAUUUGAAACUCCUAGAUCUUUUGAGAUUCAUUGAACUUUUCAAUGGCAUGUUUCGAUCUCGAGUAUGCCCUUCAGGUUUUGUGACUGGGAUGCCGAGGAUCACAAAACAAGGUGUGAAGUAACCAUGCAAAUUACUUGGUACCCUUAAGUGUUUACCCCUCAAUCGAUGUGCCGGUUAACCACACACGCUCCAUCGAUACUAUGAUAAACAUUAGGUUACCCUUUGCCUACCUUGUUAAAUACGAGUUAGUGUGCCGGUUAACCACACAAGCUCUACUAACCGACAUAAACAAAGUUCAAAGUGUAAUUUCUUGGAUUAGCACCUUAUUCACAUUUACCUAAGUAACUAAGAUUGGCUACUUAUAUAAGGUUUAGUUACUUAGUAUUUAUCAUUAAUACUUUUAAUGAAGGUAGAAUUAUAGUCCUUGUCCUACCCGUUCGGCUAACGACCCUCCACCGGUUAAGGAAGCGGUGGGUGAGAGUGGACACCCAUUAANNNNNNNNNNNNNNNNNNNNNNNNNNNNNNNNNNNNNNNNNNNNNNNNNNNNNNNNNNNNNNNNNNNNNNNNNNNNNNNNNNNNNNNNNNNNNNNNNNNNNNNNNNNNNNNNNNNNNNNNNNNNNNNNNNNNNNNNNNNNNNNNNNNNNNNNNNNNNNNNNNNNGUGAAUGAGGCCUACUAACGGUAAGACUGACUUUACUCUUAUACAUAUAUAUAAAUAUUAUUAACUUAUAAUAUUAUAAAGUAUAAGGGUUGAAUUUUAACUUUUAAAAUUAUAAGGUCUAGUUUGGAAUUAAAGUAUACAUGGGGGUAACUUUACAAAUUCCAAAACUUGAGGACAAGUUUUGAAACCAUUCAAAACUCUUGGCUUUUUCAUAACUUAUGAGUUUAAUUAAGUUUUAAUGAAAAAAAAUUCAAGUUCCAUAACUUGAGGACAAGUUAUGGAAGACAUUAAAUCUUUUAAUGAUGACAUUAAAAAUAAAGACUCUUCUGUUUUCAUAACCUAUGAGACUUAAUGACUCUUUAGAAAAAAAACUCUUCACUUUCCAUAACUUGAGGACAAGUUAUGGAGUUCAUAAAAGAUCAAAUAUUCCAAUUAACACGAUAAUCAAAUAAUUUUUCAAUGAUCUAGAUUAAACUCAUAAGUAAAGAUAAUUCACAUCAACAAUUUUCAAGAAAUUAGAUAAUCAUAUAAACUAAUACAAAUCAUGAAAAUUUGACAAUUAUCCUUUGAAGACUUUUGGACUUCAUAACCUAAAGAGUUAAUAAAUGUGACAUUUCACAUCCAUAACUUAUGCAAGUUUUAAAACUCUUAAGAUCAUAACUUUAAAAAAAACUUUUGAGUUCAAAAUUUUAUGACAAAAUUUGUAACUCCUUAAAACCACUUAGAUAAAAAUUUUAAAACAAAUAAAAUAAUCAUAUCAUUCUAUCUUUUAAUAAAUUGACCUAAUUCAACUCUUGUAGUAAAGUGACUCAAGUUUUACAAAUAAUUAGUUUUUCAUAAAAUCAAGUAAUUAUCAGAAAAUUUGACAAACUUCAUGUUUUUUUUCUUUUUUUUUCCAUCAACAUGAGAAAAAUACAUUUGCAUCAAAUAUAGUAGAAAACAACCCAUGGCUCUGAUACCACUGUUGGGUUUUGGUAUAAUACAACAUCCUAUGGUGCACAUACAACCCUAAAUACCUUGGAUCUAUGUUUUCACUAAUUAUAUAUGCAAAUGGUUUCCAAGGCAUUAAACCUAUAACUAGCUUGCAUUUGACACAAACCAUAUAAUAUACUAGUUAGGGAAACAUACCUAAUAUGUGUCUUGAAGUCUUGAUGUAUUUGGCCUUAAGAACAUAGCACCAAUAGUAUGAAAUGCCUCAAAUGGAAUCACAACACACCUAGGACAAAGGUGGCUCUUGAGAGAGAAUUCCAUGCACCAAAACACCUCUAUAUUUCUCUAAGAAAAGAAGUUGUGAUUUUGGCUAUGGAGUAACCUAUUUAUAUAUAGGACUCCAAGGGUCAUGGGUAUAACCCAUAAUCCAUACUGAUGGGUUUUAUGAUCCAUGGUUUAUGUGGCCCAAAUCUUUAUGUAUCCAUACAUAAACUUGGUCCAACAUGGAUCAUAAGCCCAACACAUAUAAAUAUAACUAAUUAUCAUAAUUAGUCCCCAUAGAUUUAAUUAGUCUCUUUUGAUGAGUAAAUUAAUUCCAAAUUAAUUCUUGAUCGAUACUAAUGAAAACAUACGAUUUCAUAUUAAUAUAUUAUAACUUAUAAUAUAUUAAUAAACCAUAAAUAACCCUCUCUCAAAAGUCCAUCCUAACAAAUUGUCCUUAUGAUAUGCAACCCAAAUGGACCAUGAUACUCUUGGGUUAAGUACAUACCAAUUAUAGUUAUAGGCUUAGACAUCUAAUCCAAUAAUUAUAUGCUAUUUAGGAUCCAUUGUGCUCAAGUCUUCACUUGGCACAUAGUAAUCCUGCAAAAUGAUCUUUCGUUCACAUCACUCACUAUAAGUGAGUUCAUACCCCUUAAGUUAUCUUUUAAAUGAUUUUGAAUGCUUUUAUGUGGGAAAUAAAAUUAGAAAACAUGUUAGUUAUAUAAUCAAUCACAUGUGAUUUAUAACUAUGUUUCAAACAAAGGAUUUCAUUUACAUUAAACUGUGUUACCAACCAAACUACUUUUAAAUCAUUUUAUAAACUGACAUCAAGUCAUUAUUAUUUAUUGUUAAAAACUCUUAAAAUGUAUUACAAAACCACUCUUAAAUUUAUAUACUAUCAAAAGCAUGUCUAUAUAUGUAUAGUUAUAUAAAUAAUGUUUAAAGGACUUAGGACUGCUAACUCGCUUUAUUUCCUUUUCUUUGUUUGGAUGUGGACUUAGGGUAUCAGUUAUUUGUCCGAAGGUCGUCUAAAUAUUAGAUAUAUAUUAUGUAUACAUAUGUGGAUAUAAAAGUACUAUCAAUCAGUUCAGUACCUUUGGGUAGCAAAGGCAUACAUUCAGUCAUUCAUUCAAUUACUAAAAUCACUAGUCAACUAUAAUAGGUAUAGUUUAGGAGAAUACUAUCAUAUACAAACUCUAUAAUAGAGAAUACUAUAACAGAGAAUACUAUAACAGAGAAUACUAUACAGAGAAUACUACAUAGAGAAUACUAUAUACAGAAAAUACUAUAUAGAGAAUACUAUACAUGGAAUACUAUUACUAUAACAAGUAUAAUAUAAAAGGUUAAGAAAUAACAUAAUGUGAGAUAAUACUUCAUGACACAACAACCAUUUUGUUGUGUCACAUUUUGUAACCAGAAACUCCUGGAGGGAGAGCGUGAGUUUGCGUAUAGAUCUAUACUGGAUUGACUAUCCUACACCCUUGUUGUUCGCUACAGUGGGAUUUUUAAGUCUACGGGUGCCAAAUGUCAUUUCUUCCGAUGUCUUUCAACAGCAUGUUAUAGUUAGUUUAGUAUGGUAACAAUCUUAUCACAUUUUCCUUAAUUAAACCAUUCUUUUUAAGGUAGUUAUUACUUCAGUAGUUAAUACAAAUAAUACUACAGUACACAUACGUUUUCCCAUUAUAUUCAAAUUGUGAUCUUCUCACAUAAAGGGUCAUAUAAAACUAUAUUUUGGUAAUGAUAGUCAUAUUUGGGAAAAGCAUUCACUUUUACAGAGAAACAAACAUACAAAACAGUCGGGUCUUGGUAAAAGACUACUUUUUAUACUAGUAGAAAAUAUAGGAUUUUCUAGGAGUUUUCAAACAUAUACAAAUAUUUACAUUGAACAUUUACAAACAUUUUCAUCGAAAUUAUACAGACAUUGACACUAAAUACUUAUGAACUCACCGGCUUAAAUACUAAUCAACGCUUUCAAAAUAACUUGUAUUCUCAGGUCAUCAAUAGACAGGUACCGAUGGCAGGUUUUGAGAAGACGGAGCACAGUCAAGACUCGUCUUUUAUUUUGAUUAUUCAUUUUUGGUGUCUUAUUACUAUCAAAAGAACACACUUGUAUGAAAUUAUACUAUUAAUGCAAUGGAUGAUGUUGUUGCUUAUUUACUACUUUGCACUGUUAUGAUACUAUACAUGACGUCCUCCACCCCAGAAUGUUUCCGCCAUUUAGGUUUUGGGGUGUGACACCCUUGAUGGUUUCUUGAUGAUUCCAUGGUUGCAUUUCUAACUAUGACAAUACGGAUGGCUUCAAUUUUGCUAUCUAGCCUCCUAGGUUUCUGGUAGCAAUCGGGUCGUCUCUUUUCCUAAUGGACAAAUAAGAAGGCACACUUCAAAAGUAGACAAAUACAAAGUAAGAAAGCGAUACCUUUGGAUGGACCCGGGUAUUGUUAUCUAAUUCCUAACUUUAAUGUCAAAUGAGAGUGUUGCAAUAUUAGUUUUUUAGAGAAAUGUUCUACCUACUUCCUUUGGUUAUGAUCGGCUUUUAUAGGCUUUCAAAGACGUAUUAGUUCGAGCUUUUACCUGGAUUUUUGUGUAGUCCAGGUAAGGACAGCUUAUUGUGGGUAUCUUUACAUUAUGCUUUUCGUCAAAUAUGCUUUUCGUCAUAUAUGCUUUUCUUACAACCUAUGCCCCAUGUUUAUUAUUAGUCAAUCAUGCUUCAUUCUUUCAUAACGAAUAAUGUGUAUGUCUAUUAGGUUUAGAGGUUCCCAAGUCGGUAUUUGCUUCUUUGCCGACCUGGGUACACCAUAAGUCACUCUAGCUAAAUAUGAUAUUUUUAAAACUAUUCCAUUAUGGACCUAGUGCAUGUCUCUCCUACUCUGAUUCAUAAUCUUAUCUUUUCUUGAAAGAAUCUAAUUUGCUUGCACCUUGAAAUCGAACAUCCAUACCGGCUUGCUACAAUGUAAGAACAAAUGCUAUAUAUAUUGUUGUUCGUCAUCAAUGAGAUUCUAACUUUUAUCAUUCAGAUGGUUUUGUUGAUUAUUUCAAAGUCCAUCUAGUGGUUAAAUACAUUACCGUAAUGCCCUGAAUUCAGAAGACCUAGAAAGGAAAGAAAAGCUUAAGAUGAGGAAGUGACUCGUCGGGUAGAUGGGUGAUUCGACAAGCAGGAGCGCUAAUUUGGUCGUAGGUUAAGUGACCUACUUGACGAGUCAAAAGGAUGACUCGACGAGUUGGCCAGAUCUUGGGAAAACCCUAAAUCGGGAUUUGUUGCCCUAUUUAAGCAUCUUAUUCUCAUUCUAUCAGGCUCAUUUGUAGCCUCCAUUGUCCAGAACUGUCCCACAAAACCCUAGUGCUCUUUUUGAGUGUGUGAUCCAUUAUUGAAGGAUUUAGAGUAUUCUUCAUGUCCAGAAGAAGAAGAAGGAGGAGGUUGGAGGUCCAAGGAGAAGGUUAUAGAUCUAGGAAGUUUGCUUCAUAUUCUUCAUUUUCUUAUAAUCAAGUUGUCACCUUGACUUGUAGUUUGUUUGAUCUCUUUAUGUCCCUUUUUAUGGAGUUUAUGGUCCAAGAAGGAUGUCUUGUGGACGAUGACAUGAGUGAAAUCUCUGUAGAGGAUGAGGUUGACUGUUCUGAGUUCAUUAGGAGCGAACCUGAAAACCACAAAAACUUGAUUUCUGAAAAUUCUGUGGAAUUUGCUCGUCUGUCCAAAAAUAAGUCCCCAAUCCUUAAAGAAAAGGCCGUGGUAUACAAAAAAGUUAGAACCACUCCCAAUCAGGUUUAUAAGGUUACAGGAGUAACCGAACAUCAGAUAGCCGAACUCAUUGCCAUGGUGAAUGAAAAUAAUGCAGAUGGUUGUGAUGAGUUUUUCUGGUCUGCACCGAUAGACAACGCAGAUGAAACAGUUGGUUUAUCGGAGCAAACAUCAUGGAAGGCCAAAGGUAGAUAUGUGGCAGAACCACUAAAUAAACCUACCAACUUUGACGUGCCCAGUUCCAGUGGUACAAAAGAUGUUCCAAAGGAAUAUGUCUUGUAACACUCGUGUUUCUAGCCUAGGCAUUUAUAUUGAGUUGAUAGUCUAGGUUAACCUUUGUAACUCAUUUUGAAGAAAUGAAAAGGAAUUAUGUGAAUUAUGUGUUUUAUGCUUAAUUAUUAGGGCUUAAUUAAUUAAAAAUAAAAAUGAGCGUCAAAAUUAAAGUGUGAGAUAAGCCCGAUAUCUUUAUAUAAAGUUGUAGUGGUCGAAACAAGGAUUUCGGGGAUAUAAAGAAUACCAAAAUCCGAGUUAUAACGAAGAAGUUAUAACCUGUCGAAGUUUCGCGAAAAAACUUGCACGGUGCUGAAUGUCGUAAAAAGUGAGUUUUUGAUAAACUAAUUUUUAGCUUUAGUAAUCUAAACGAAAGUCGUAGUAUUCGUUAAACCGAGAAUUUCGAUAAAAAGAACGCCCAAAUCUGACUUCGUAUGAGGAAGUUAUGAUUUUUCGAAGUUCCAGCUUAGCAGUAGACAGCUAAAAACUCAAUUUUUAGAUCGAGCGAUUUUUAGCCGACACAACCUAAAUGAGAGUUGAAGGUCUCGUCAUUAGGAGCACAACGGUAAAAAGUCUGACGAAAACGGACGUCGUAUGAAGAUGUUAUGAAUUUUUAACGGAUUUCUUGUCCUCGUCUGUUAAAAAUAACAAUAUAAAAUUUCAAGUCAAAAUUAGCCGACGAAGUCUAAACGAAAAUUGUAGAGCGUAAUUUUAGCUACGCGUGCAUAUAGAAAACGUCAAAAACGGAGCUCGUAUGCAAAAGUUAUGGAUUUUAGAAGUUUUGGCGCGAAAAGCAAGAAAAUCCGCAUAGUCACGAGUUGCCACGUCACCCUCGCUGAAAAAGUGCCACGUGUCCUGCUGAGUCACUGAAGCUGCUGAGUCAUGCGAAGCCACAUGUCAGAUCCUCACUAUGCCUGCCGCGUGUUCCGAGCGUCGCAUAGCCUAGCUCCGAACCGCGCAUGUGCACCAGUAGGCUGUGGUCCACUUAGAAGCUGCCAGCGAGCCCUCGCAGGUGCGACCCAUGUGCGAGCCAUGCGCGGCCUCGUGCGAGCCACCCCCCUCUGUGAGCUUCGGAUCUGCGAUGCGUGUCUUCCUCCUGACCAUCCGAUCAGAAGCCUCGCCUCUAUAAAUGGAAGGGUGCGAGACCUCCCGGGUAUACUUAGGAAAAUUGUCAAUUUUAACCCCUAGACCCGUAUUUCUUUCAUCUUAACAUUCCGCGAAGCCCCAGUAUCGAUUGUAAAGCCUGGAAUACUCCACGAAGUGCACGUGAAGCCCGUAAAAUUUAUCUUUUUGGUUUCGAAGCCCGACUUUUGCAGAGCCCGCUUUCUCCAUAAAAUUCCCAGUUUUAUUAGAAACGAUCGUUUUAGGAAACGAAUUGUUGCCCGAUUUUCUGUGACAACCCGAAAUUUCUAUUCUGAACAAACCAUAUCAAGCCAAUAGAUGUAGAACAGUUCAAUGUAAACUCAGAUUUCGAGUAUAAGUUUGGCAGUUUUCAGGAUUUUACACUUAAGGAGAUAUUAGGAGAGUGGAUGCACUAGGGUUUUCUGCAACACUAUUAUUCCAAGACUGUAGGACAUUAGAGUUCGUUUCAGGAAUAAAAAUAUUUUCUGCCAAAAAUAUUUCAGGACUAUAAAUAGAUUUCUGAACUAAAUUCAUUCAUUAUUCACAAUUCAAACUAGAGAAAAACCGUUUUCUCUCUCACGGAUCUUCGGGUUUCAUCCCAAAUCGUGAGUACACUUCUCUAGUUGUGUUAUAAUGCUUGUUUUAUGCUUAUUAACAUAGAUUAUAUGUCAAAUAUAUGACAUCCGGGAGUUUACCGCCCAAGAACGUUCUUGGGGAGUAAACUCCAAAAUGAAGCUUAAUGGCCAUCUAGUCCCAUUUCCUUGUUAGGUAUCUAGCUUAGGAUAAUAUGUAUGAACAUUUGAGACUAGAAAUCAAUCAAGAACACCUAGCUUUAGGAGUUUACGGCCCAAGAGUUUCUUGGACCGUAAACACCAAUUUCAAGGGCUUAAAUGUGCCCUAAUCACCCCCAAAGGCUUAGGUUUUAUUAUAGACAUGUACCCUAAAGUGAUUAGAACCUAGAAAACACAUGGAAACACAAGUGUUGAAGAGUUUACGGCCAAGAGUAGUUCUUGGGCCGUAAACUCCUAUAAAGGGGUCAAAGGACACCCUAACUCCUUCCUUAAGCCAAGAGACCAAUUUGGGCAUGUACCUAAAUGAGUUUUGGACUAGUUAAAACACUUAGAACACCAAGAGUGAGGGAGUUUAUGGCCCAAAAGGUUCUAGGGCCGUAAACUCCAUAAAAUGGUGCCAAAUGGUGCCAUAAACUCUUCUAAAGCCAAGUACCAAAGCCUAGUUUAGUUCCUAGUUAAUUUAGAGACUUGAAAACACCAUAAAAACCCUCCCAAGGGAGUUUACGGCCGUAAACUCCAAGGGAAUAUGGUCUAUGGGCCGUAAACUCCCCAAAGGAGUUAAUAUGGUACCCAAACACUUGUAUAGCCUUGAAACAAUUCCCCUCUAGAGUUGUAGUAAUUCUAAGCUUCAAUUAGGGACCCUAAGGAGAGUUUACGGCCAGGAGUUUACUCCCCUGGGCCGUAAACUCCAAAGAAUAUGGUCAUUAGACCUUAAACUCCCAUUAGGGGCAUUGCACUCCUUUGUUGCAACCCAUUAGCCUCCUAGCACUUGACCAAAAGUGUUUUCCUCGCGUUUAAAUGUUUAUACUUGUAUAAUUAGUGUUUUAAUCACUAAUUAUUUAUAUACAUAUGUUUUCAUAUGUAAUUAGGAUCAUUGUGUGUGUCUAAGUCUUCACUUGACACCAAGCACUUGUCCGAUCCUUCCGUACGAUAACAGUCCGUUCAAUUCCAGUCACUUACUGCAGGUGAGUUCAUACCCCUUAACUAAUGUUUUAAACUAUUUUUAAAUGUUUUAUGGGGGGGAUACAAGUAGAAUCAUGCUAGUUAUUAUAUCAAUCACAUGUGAUUAAUAAGUAGAAUUAUGCUAGUUAUUACAUCAAUCACAUGUGAUUAAUAUACAACAUUCAAAUGAUUUGGCUACUCAUUAGCCGUUUUACCAAACAGUUUCCUUCAAAUGAUUUUUAUAAACAUUUUAUAUGUUUUAAACUCCUUAUUACACUGUACAUUUUACUCUGUAUAUCACAUUUCAAACUUAUUUACAAUUGUGUUUCAAACAAAUGUUUCUUUAUACUAAACUGUUUUAUCAAACCCAUGCCUUCAAAUUGUUUUAUAGAUUGACAUCAAGUCGAUCUUUUCUUAAAAUAAUAUUUAUGUUUCAAAUGUCUUACAAAACUUAUUUAUGCUUUUAUAUUAUAAAUUGCAUGCCUCUAUAUGUAUAGUUAUAUAAGAAAUGUUUAAAAGACUUAGGAAGGCUAUCCACCCUAUUUCCUUUUCGCGCUUGAGAUGUGGUCUGGUGGGAUAUCGGGUACUCGUCCGAAGGUCGUUUAAAUAUUAGUUAUAUAUCAUGUGUACAUAUAUAGUCAUAAAAGGUCCUUCCAGUUCAUCCCAUGCCCUUGGGUAGCAAGGGUAUACAUCCUUGUCCAUACGUACCACAUAGAUUACUAGUAAGCUACCAUAUGGGUAGUUUAGGAAGAUACUAGAACUAUUACUAGAACACGAUAUCAUUCAAUGAGUCAGUUCAUUCAUGAGUCAAUACUUUCUAGAACAUUACAGUACAUUACUAUACUUGCUAGGUAGAGAGCACGUACAUUACAGAUAGAACAGUUCGUUACAUUACACUUACAUUAAUACGCCAAUAAUUGUGAUCCACUGUAUGGAAGCAUGCCUUAAUUGUCAUGCCCCGGGUUGUAACCAGAGUCUCUUGAAGGGAGAGCGUGAGUUUGCGUAUAGAUCUAUACUGGAUUGGCUAUCCUACACCUUGCUGCUAGCUACAGCAGGACCGGUAGGUCUGCAGGUGCCAAACGUCAUACCUUAUUUUCGACUAUACGUUGUCGUUGUUACCAGUCUAUAGUAUGGUGCAAUUUAUCACAUAAUGCCUUAAUAUAAAUCCGGUUUAAGGUAGUUAGUACGGCUGUAGUUCUUAUAGCACUACACCAUAGUACUAGUUCAUUUUCCCAUUUCAUUCACUUCGUGAACAUUCACACGACGCACGGUAAUGUAGAGACUAUAUUUUAGUUAAUGAUAGUUAUACUUGGGAAAAUACAUACUCUUACACGAGACACACAUCCAGACACUAGAUGCCUUGGUAGAAGNCAUAACAGUUAGGUCUCGGUAGGAGACUACUUUUUAUACUAGUAGGAAUCAUAGGGAUUUCUAGGGUUUUUCAAACACUUACAAUUCAUAUACAAUUUCAAUACAUAUAGUUACAAAUUCUUACAUACAAAUACUUACAUACAAAUUAAGACACUAAAUACUUAUGAUCUCACCAGCUUCAAAGCUGAUAAUCGCUUUCAAAAUUACUUGUAUCCUCAGGUCAUCAUAGACAGGUACCGAUGCAAGGAGAAAGGAAGAUGGAGCUUGUUCAAGUAUUAUCUUUCAUUUUGAUUUAUGCUUUAGUGUUUUUUUAAUAUUUGACAUAACACAUUUGUAUAAUCAUUAUAUUAUUAUUGCAAUGGAUGAUGUUGUUGCUUAUUUACUACUUUACAUUGUUGUUGGUAUUAUACAUGACAUCCUCCGCCCCAGAACGUUUCCGCCGUUCUUGGUUUUGGGGUGUGACAUUUUCAUCAAAAUAUGUGAGUGUGUAGUUACUUUCAAUUUACACAUAGAUAUGAAGUAUUUACCUUGAAAUACGUGUUAUGUUUAAUUAUAUUAAUUGUUUAAUUGAGGUGACUGUUGAAUUGAUGUUUUAUACAAGUUUUAAACCGUAUAUGAUUUUUAUCUACAAAAUAUGUUGGGUAGAACAUGGGUAGAUGAAAUAGUUGAUGUGUGUUAAAAAGGUGAGAGGCCUCGAUGUUGUUGUUCUUGUUGUUAUUUUUGUUGUUGUAGUCAUCUAGUGGAGUAUAGAUGAUGACCACAUACUUUCUAGAUAGUCCAGUGGAACAUUAGCAGGUUCGCAACUUGUAGGUGUUGAUGAAUUAAAUGUUCAUUGUCGUACUCCAUCCCCCUCAUGGUUGCCUUAAGGAGAUGUAUGGCUGAGGAAAACCCUUAGCAGUAGUGUCCAUCCCGAUGAUAAUCUUAGGCUAGGUCCCUUGUGAAAGGUGUUUAGGGACGUAAAGUGAGGACAAGGGAAAUGGGUAAUCAGGGUUAUUGUUGAUUGGUGAAAUUAAUAAGUGUAUUAUUAUUGUGGGUUGAAAACCCUAUAUGCUCACCAGGCUCCCAAGCCUGACCCACUCAGUUUUUGUGAUUACAGGUAGUGGACCCCGAGCAUAGUCGGAGGACGACGAGAGAUUUUUGGAUUAUAGGCUAGUAGUUGCAAAUAACUGUUCAAAGCCUUAUAAUGUCUGGUUAAUGCUUUUGAUCAGUAUCGGAACAUGACAUCCCGAGGUUUUGGAUAUAUAUAUGGAAAAUAUAUACCUUCUUAAUAAAGGGAUUUGAUAAACUUUAAUCAUAUGUUGUUAGGGGACCAAUUCCACAACAUAUUUUAAAAAGAUUUCUCUGAUUUUAUUUAAAAAGCAUAAACUAAAUCGGUCUUUUCUGGCCGAGAAAUUAGGGGAUGUCAUAGUUGGUAUCAGAGCAUUAGUUUAAACGAACUAAGAAAUUGUAGACUUUCUAGACUUGAACUUAGAAUGCUAAGUGAUGAUUGUGAGAUGAGUGUCUACCAUAUUUUAGACACGAGCACUAGUUUAUUUUAGGGAAGAUGCCUAAAAUGCCCUUAUGUGCUAAAUGCUAUGUGUUUGCCAUGUGUGCCAUUAUUUGUUCGGAUCUAUGGUCUGUUGCCGACCGGAUCUGGAAACCUUAUGUGUGUAGGAUUCUAAGCGUAUGAAUACGAGAUUAGAACUAACAUGUAAACGUUUCGGAGUGAUAAGGGAAUUGACAUGUCUAACAAGGAUAAAGACCUAAAUUCGCCUUAUUCGGUAUAUAGAUUGUAAUGGCAAGAACUCGGAGUGGAGCUGGAAAUGCAAACAGAAACCAACAACCUCAACCUCAUGUGGUGGAACAGGUGCCGAUAGUAGGAGCUGCACCCGAACCCAUCACCAUGGUUGCAGUACGAACUAUGAUUCAGGCCAUGUUGGCUGAACAGAGGGAGGAAUUGAGGCAAAUGUUGUUGAACGACAGAGAUGAACCUUCAGUUCCUGUUGAAUAACGUGAACUAAAUGACGAUCGAUCUGAAGAAGGGAACAACAGUAGAUCGGUUGGUCAUAGUGAACCGCUUGUGGUUGGGAGGAAUAACCACGAGGGUAGAGUGGAGAGAAAUAGGUGCAAGUAUAAGGACUUUAUGACUUGCAAGCCAUCCACCUUCAAUGGAAAAGAAGAUCAUAUCGGAGUAAUAGACUGGAUCUCGGAAAUGGGGUUGGCUUUCAUGACUUGUGAUUGCCAAGGCAAGUUACAAACUACGUUUGCAGUACGUCAGUUCAGGGGUAGUGCUGCUCGUUGGUGGAGCACUUUGGGGAAAACCCUAAGCCCUAAUGAGCCACUGCAAUUAACUUGGGCAGAGUUCUUAGUGCACUUCAAGCGCAAGUACUGCUCGGCCCAAAACGUACUUGAGUUAGAAAACCAAUUUCUAACGUUGCAGAAGGGGAGUAUGACCGUUGACGAAUAUACGAAUAACUUCACAGACAAAAUGGAGUUUGCUUUGCGUAUUGUCCCAGAUGAGUUGGCAAAAAUAGACAGGUACGCAAAGGGACUUCCAUGGGAGUACGUGGUGCCAGUACAUCAGGCACUUACUUUGGAGGCAGCUAUCUGGGCUGCCAAGUCUGUUGAAGAUAUGAUAAAAGGGAGAGCCGCCAACAAGGUUGAAGUUGGCAAAAAGAGAGAGUUUGAAGGAACUUCAGGUUCCAAUAAAAAGAACAAAUUCUCGAAGACUGGUUCGAGAAAGUUUGGAGGAGGAAGCGAAGCCAAGUGGUGUGACAAGUGUAAGAAGAAACAUGCUGGGAAGUGCAGCGUGGAAGUCACUUGUUACAAAUGUGGAAAGCCAGGGCAUUAUGCCAAUGAAUGCACCUUCAAUAAGAACGUAUGUUUUGGGUGCAAUGAAGAAGGGCAUAUUUUGAGGGACUGCCCGAAGAAGAAGGACGCAGCAAAACCCAAUCUACCACCAAAGCCGAAGGCGAGAGCCUUUCAGAUGACACUCGAAGCUGCGAAAGAAGAAGUCGAUGUCGCUUCAGGUACCUUUCUCGUAAACGAAUUGCCUGCCCAAAUUUUGUUUGAUUCUGGAGCCAAUUACUCCUUUAUAUCGCAUGAAUUUGGUAGAAAGCUAGCUUUGCCUGUAGAUAUGCUAGUUAAUGCUAUAAUAGUCGAGAUUGCUAGUGGCAAGUUUGUACCUGUUAGCCAUCGUAUGAAAAACAUCCUCAUUGACUUGGAUGGGAAUAAGUUCCAAGAGGAAUUAUUGCCUAUCGAGUUAAAUGGAUUCGACAUAGUUUUAGGAAUGGAUUGGCUUAGCGCCAACGAUGCAGAAAUACUAUGUAGAAAGAAGAUAGUAAAAGUAAACCCGCCAGGGAAAGAGUCGUUUAUGGUGUACGGAGACAAACGCAGAGUAAACUCUGGAAUCAUUUCCCUAAUGAAAGCCAGAAAGUGUUUGGCCAAGGGAUGUACAUCAUAUCUAGCAUUCGUGAUCGAUGCCAAGAUGGAAAAGAAGGAGGUGCAGAAUAUUCCGGUGGUGUGUGAUUAUCCGGAAGUCUUUCCCGAAGAUCUUCCCGGAUUGCCCCCUGAUCGACAAGUAGAAUUUCGUAUCGACUUGUUACCAGGAACGACGCCGAUAGCAAAAGCACCUUAUCGAUUAGCGCCAACCGAAAUGAAAGAACUUAUGACACAACUUCAGGAGUUAAUGGACAAAGGUUUCAUUCGACCUAGUUCAUCGCCCUGGGGAGCCCCUGUGUUAUUUGUAAAGAAGAAAGAUGGGAGCAUGAGAAUGUGCAUCGAUUACAGAGAGCUGAACAAAGUGACGAUAAAGAACAAGUACCUGUUGCCAAGGAUCAAUGACCUGUUCGACCAGUUGCAGGGUUCGAGCUAUUUCUCGUAGAUCGAUCUUAGGUCCGGAUACCAUCAACUAUAGGUGAGAGAGAAGGAUAUCGAAAAGACUGCGUUUAGAACGAGAUAUGGACACAAUGAAUUUUUGGUUAUGUCGUUCGGACUAACCAAUGCCCAAGCAGCUUUCAUGGAUUUGAUGAAUAGGGUUUGUAAACCAUUCUUAGAUAAAUCUAUGAUAGUAUUCAUAGAUGAUAUCUUGAUUUAUUCGAAAAGGACGUAGGAACAUGAAAAGCAUCUACGUGAAGUGUUAGAAGUCCUGAAAAUGGAGAAGCUGUAUGCAAAGUUUUCCAAAUGUGAAUUUCGGAUUCAAGAAGUCCAAUUUUUAGGUCAUGUGGUUAACCAAGAAGGAAUAAUGGUCGACCCGGCAAAGAUUGAAGCUGCAAUGAAGUGGGAACAACCAAAAAGUCCUACGGAGAUUCGAAGCUUUUUAGGAUUCGCUGGAUAUUACCGAAGGUUUAUCUAAGGCUUUUCUUCGAUUGCUACUCCAUUAACAACUUUGACCCACAAAGGAGCCACUUAUGCUUGGAAUGAGAAGCAUAAGGAAGCCUUUGAGAAGUUGAAGAAGAGAUUGUGUGAAGCACCGAUUCUUUCAUUGCCUGAAGGAGUUGAUGACUUCGCAGUUUAUAGCGAUGCAUCUAGAGUUGGGUUAGGUUGUGUUCUGACCCAAAGGGAUAAAGUGAUCGCGUAUGCAUCGAGGCAAUUGAAGGAACAUGAAAAGAACUACCCCACUCAUGAUCUGGAGUUGGCAGCGGUAGUAUAUGCCUUAGAGACAUGGAGGCAUUAUCUUUUUGGCACAAAGUGUAAACUUUUCACUGAUCAUAAGAGUCUCCAGUAUCUCUUUAAUCAGAAGGAAUUGAACAUGAGGCAACGAAGCUGGCUAGAGUUACUCAAGGACUACGACUGUGAGAUACUUUACCACCCUGGAAAAGCAAAUGUUGUUGCUGAUGCUCUCAGUCGGAAGGUAAACCUUGAAAAGAAAAGGCCAAGAGUGUUGAGAAUUGAAGUUGUCUCGACAAUUUUGGAAAGUAUAAAGAAAGCUCAAGAGGAAGCUUUAGAGAAAAAUGACCGAAAGGAAGAACGUUUUGGGCAAAAUGUUAGUGUUCGGUACAAACAACCAAGGGUUGAAGGCAUUCCAAAAUAGGAUUUAGGUACCUAAGAUGGGUGGAAUAAGAGAUCUUUUGAUGGAAGAAGCUCACAAGACCAUGUACUCGAUUCAUCCCGGCAGUACAAAAAUGUAUAGGGAUCUAAAACCCUAUUAUUGGUGGCCGACGAUGAAACUCGAUGUUGCUAUGUAUGUGGCCGAGUGUGUAACUUGUGCUAGGGUUAAGGCACAACAUCAGAAACCGUAUGGGAGUUUGGAACCUUUACCCAUACCCAUGGGUAAAUGGCAUGGGAAGACAUCACCAUGGGUUUUGUGACUAAACUACCCAGAACAAGGAACGGUCACGACAUGAUUUGGGUGGUCGUUGAUCGCUUCACUAAGAGUGCGCAUUUCAUAGCAGCCAAAGAGAAAUGGUCUAUGAAUAAACUUGCAAAUUCUUACGUGAAGGAAAUUGUGAGGCUUCACGGUGUUUCGCUAACGAUUGUAUCCGAUCAUGACAGUUGUUUUACCUCGAGAUUUUGGAGGAGUCUACAAGAGGAAUUGGGUACCAAGUAGUGUUUGAGUACAACUUACCAUCCACAAACCGAUGGUCAGAGUGAACGAACGAUUCAAACAUUGGAGGAUAUGCUGAGAGCAUGUACCCUAUAAGUUCAAGGUAACUGGGAUGAACACUUACCUCUAGUAGACUUCUCCUAUAAUAAUAGUUUCCACUCGAGCAUCAAUAUGGAACCUUAUCACGCUUUGUAUGGGGGGAAGUGUCGACGCCAUCAUGCUGGCCGGAAGCUGGGGAAAAGCAGUUUAUCGGACCUGAAAUAGUCCAUCACACUGCUGAAAAGUUGAAAGUGAUAAGGGAAAGGAUUUUAGUUUCUCAAGAGAGACAAAAGAGUUAUGCUGACAAGAAAAGACAAUCGAUAUCCUUUGAUGUUGGAGAUUCGGUUUUACUUAAAGUCUCACCGUGCAAGGGACUUAUAAGAUUUGGUAAGAGAGGGACGUUGAGUCUAAUGUUUAUUGGACCAUUUAAAGUUAUUCAGAGGAUCGGGAAUCAAGCUUACAAGCUAGAGUUACCGGAAGAACUAGAGGGUGUUCAUAACACCUUUCAGGUGUGUUAUUUGAGAAAGUUCACAGGAGAUGUGCCCGACAUAAUUCCGAUUUUUGAGUUAAGGUUGGAUGAAAACAAGAGGUUGAUUGAAGAACCUGAGGCAAUUGUUGACCGUAAGACUAUGAAGUUACGACGCAAGAUGGUCGAUUUAGUGCUUGUGCGCUGGAAACAUACGAAUGGACCAAAUCUCACUUGGGAAACGGAGAGUGACAUGAUGAGUCGCUACCCGCAGUUGUUUGGUGAUAUGUGGUUCCGGGGACGGAAUCAUCCUAAGGGGACAGAAUUGUAACACUCGUGUUUCUAGCCUAGGCAUUUACAUUGAGUUGAUAGUCUAGGUUAACCUUUUUAACUCAUUUUGAUGAAAUGAAAAGGAAUUAUGUGAAUAUUAUUUGAAUUAUGUGUUUUAUGCUUAAUUAUUAGGGCUAAAUUAAUUAAGAAUAAAAAUAAGCGUCAAAAUUAAAGUGUGAGAUAAGCCCGAUAUCUUUACAUAAAGUUCUAGUUGUAGAAACAAGGAUUUCGGGGAUAUAAAGAAUACCAAAAUCCGAGUUAUAACGAAGAAGUUAUGACCUGUCGAAGUUUCGCGACAAAACCGACACGGUGCUGAAUGUCGUAAAAAGUGAGUUUUUGAUAAACUACUUUUUAGCCAUAGUAAUCUAGACGAAAGUCGUAAUAUUCGUUAAACCGAGAAGUUCGAUAAAAAGAACACCCAAAUCUGACUUUGUAUGAGGAAGUUAUGAUUUUUCAAAGUUUCAGCUUAGCAGUAGACAGCUACGAACUCGAAUUUUAGAUCGAGCGAUUUUUAGCCGACACAUCCUAAACGAGAACUGAAGGUCUCGUCAUUAGAAGCACAACGGUAAAAUGUCUAACGAAAACGGACGUUGGAUGAAGAAGUUAUGAAUUUUUAACGGAUUUCCUGUCCCGGUCUGUUAAAAAUAAUAAUAUAAAAUUCAAAGGCAAAAUUAGCCGACGAAGUCUAAACGGAAGUUGUAGAGCGUAAUUUUAGCUACGCGUGCUUAUAAAGCAUGUCAAAAACGGAGCUCGUAUGCAAAAGUUAUGGAUUUUAGAAGUUUUGGCGCGAAAAUCGAGAAAAUUUGCAUAGUCAUGAGUUGCCACGUCACCCUCACUGAAUAAGUGCCACGUGUCUUGCUGAGUCACCAAGAUGCUGAGUCAUGCGAAGCCACGUGUCGGAUUCUGAUUUGACCGAAGGGAGGUCCAAUCUGAGGCUAGCAUAUGGACCGAACCUCGCACCCUAGCUCUGAGCCUCGCAUGUGUAAUACGACUCCGCGGUCCAAUCAGCAAGUGCCACUGAGACCUUCGCACAUGCUGACCACCUGCGUAUCGGACACAUGCCUCGGUCCACUUAGAAGCUGCCAGUGAGCCCUCGCAGGUGCGACCCAUGUGCGAGCCAUGCAUAGCCUCGUGCGAUCCACCCCCUCUGCGAGCUUCGGAUCUGCGAUGCGUGUCUUCCUCCUGACCAUCCGAUCAGAAGCCUCGCCCCUAUAAAUAGAAGGGUGCGAGACCUCCCGGGUAUACUUUGGAAAAUUGUCAAUUUUAACCCCUAAACCCAUGUUUCUUUCAUCAUAACAUCCCGCGAAGCCCCGAUAUCGAUUGUAAAGUCCGGAAUACUCCACGAAGUGCCCGUGAAGCCCGGAAAAUUUAUCUUUUCGGUUUCGAAGCCCGAAUUUUGCAGAGCCCGGUUUCUCAAUAAAACUCCCGAUUUUAUUAGAAACGAUCGUUUUAGGAAACGAAUUGCUGCCCAAUUUUCAUCAAAAUAUGUGAGUGUGUAGUUACUUUGAAUUUACACAUAGGUAUGAAGUAUUUACCUUGAAAUACGUGUUAUGUGUAAAUAUAUUAAUUUUUAUAUUGAGGUGACUGUUGAAUUGAUGUUUUAUACAAGUUUUAAACUGUAUAUGCUUUUUAUCUACAAAAUAUGUUGGGUAGAACAUGGGUGGAUGAAAUAGUUGAUGUGUGUUAAAAAGGUGAGAGGCCCCGAUGAUGUUGUUGUUGUAGUCAUCUAGCGGAGUACAGAUGACGACCACGAAAUUUCUAGAUAGUCCAGUGGAACACUAGCAGGUUCUCAACUUGUAAGUGUUGAUGAAUUAAAUGUUCAUUGUCGUACUCCAUCCCCCUCAUGGUUGCCUUAAGGACAUGUAUGGCUGAGGAAACCCCUUAGCAGUAGUGUCCAUCCCGAUGAUAAUCCUUAGGCUUGGUCCCUUGUGAUAGGUGUUUAGGGACGUAAAGUGAGGACAACGGGAAUGGGUAAUCAGGGUUAUUGUUGAUAGGUGAACUUAAUAAGUGUAUUAUUAUUGUGGGUUGAAAACCCUAUAUGCUCACCAGGAUCCUAAGCCUGACCCACUCAGUUUUUAUGAUUACAGGUAGUGGACCCCGAGCAUAGUCGGAGGACGACAAGAGAUUUUUGGAUUAUAGGCCAGUAGUUGUAAAUAAUUGUUGAAAGGCUUAUAAUGUCUUGUUUAUGCUUUUGGUAUGUAUCGGAACAUGACAUCCCGAGGUUUUGGAUAUAUAUAUGGAAAAUAUAUACCUUCUUAAUGAAGGGUUUUGAUAAACUUUUAUCAUAUGUUGUUUGGGGACCAAUUCUGCAACAUGUUUUAAAAAGAUUUCUCUGAUUUUAUUUUAAAAAGCAUAAAUUAAAUCGGUCUUUUGUAGCCGAGAAAUUAGGGGAUGUCACAUGUGUCCUCAACAAGCGAAACCUCUUCCUUGAAAAGUGAACCUGUUGCUCAGAAGCCGAAGUAGAAGGCAAAUAUUCACAGUCAACCGAAACAAGUGAAAAAUCAAAAGCAGCAGAGGAAUUUAGGAUACAAGAAAAAUCUCUCAGAGCGAAAGCAAUUUUGGCGCUCCCAAAAUCCUCACUAUACUCAAUUUGACAGAAACUCCAAGCCAAAAGGAGAAGAAAAUAAGAGUCAAAGAAGCUUCGGUCCAUCAGAUCAAAAGAACCAGAAGAAGACUUUCGGGCCACAGGAAGAACAAAACCGAAAGGAUAGGUUCGGUCCCGAAAGUAACAACAACCGAAAGACUGGUUUCGGUCCACCAAAAAACAACAGAUAAAGACGAAAGUUCACCCCAUCAAGCUUUUACAGCAGAAGACCCAGUUUCGGUCCAGCAACCCACAACAACUGAAAAUCCAGUUUCGGUCCAUAACCAAACAGCAGCUGAAGGUCUAGGUUCGGUCCCUCAAAUGAUCACAACCGAAAGGGUCAUUUCGAACCACAAUUCAGGAAAGAUUCUCAUGCUAACUUCUAUUCUUCUAAUUCUUCUCGUUCUCAUUCUUCUUCUAAGCCUAAUUCUCUUCCUACACCAAACUCACAAUCGUCGAAGGAUUUGAAAGGAAAAAGGAAGAUUUCCUCAGCAAAUGAAGACCAAAAGCAAGCUAAAGUCCAAACGCCCGAACCUGAAUCCAAAAUACCUGCAUCUAACUCCAAUAAAAUCAAAGUGUUUACCACUAAGAGGAAAGAUGAAACAACCUUAAUAAAAUGAACAUAUCUAGUUGAUGUUUCUUUUACUAUUCUUGUUUCUGUAAAAGGCUCACGUGGACCCAAGAAACUUUGGGUUCCUAAAUCUGCUUAAUUUUUGCAGGUUAUAAGUGACGAGCAGUUCGACGAAGAAUGGUACAUAGACAAGUUUGGUAACAACUCUUAUGGAAUGAUAAAGGGUUAUGGGAUGAUAACCAAUUGAGACUUUACAAUCAGGAAGGUGGCGUAUGUAGAAGGGUUGCAGCAUAACCUCGUCAGUGUGUCUCAACUGGUGGGAGGUACAGGUCUCAAAGUCUCUUUCGAUGACAAAGGUUCAGAGAUAAUAGAGAAGAAAUCCAACAAAGUUAUUCUCAAUUCUGAACGAAAAGGUGAAAUGUUCCCUUUGAAUCUCAGACCAAUCAAAGGGAAUCUAGCCAUAUGUCUUUUGACCAAAGCCCAUUCAGACGAAAGUUGGUUGUGGCACCGAAGGCUCUCACACCUCAACUUCAAUGACAUCAACAAGCUAGUCACAGGUGGUCAUGUUCGGGGACUCCCACUGCUUAUGUUCGAUCGAGAACACUUAUGUGCUGCAUGUGAAAUGGGGAAACAAAGUCGCCAAAGUCACCCAACAAUCAUAAACACCAAAGUUGUUGAACCACUUGAGUUGCUUCACAUCGACUUAUGUGGUCCAUCAUCAAUCGAGAGCAUUGGCAGUAACAAGUACAUCCUUGUUAUUGUUGUUGAUUUCUCACGAUUUACUUGGGUAUUCUUUCUAAAGCACAAAUUUGAGGCGACUCCCAAACUGAAGAUCUUUAUCAACCAAGUCGAAGUGCAACUGAGAAAAGUCGUUCGAAACAUCCAGAGCGACAAUGGACUGGAAUUCAAGAACAAAGAAUUCGAAGAUUUCUUAGCAGAAAAGGGCACCAGUCACAAUUUCUCAACCCCCUAUACACCUCAAAAGAAUGGAAUUGUCGAAAGGCGAAACCGAUCCCUGUGUGAGGCGGCCCGAUCCAUGGUGAGUUUUGCUUCCCUUCCUCUAUAUUUCUGGGCUGACGCCAUUGCUACAGCUUGUUUUACUCAAAACAGAUCUUAUCUCAACAAGCGUUUCUCUCUCACCCCUUAUGAGAUUAUUAAAAACAGGAAGCCGAAUGUCAAGUUCUUUCACGUGUUCGGUUCAAGGUGCUUCAUCUUCAACUCCAAAGAACAUCGCAACAAGUUUGAUGUCAGAGCUGAUGAAGGUAUCUUUCUGGGAUAUUCUCUUACUUCAAAGGCAUACAGGGUUUUGAAUAAGCGUUCUAAAAGAAUUGAAGAAACCUAUUAUGUGACGUUCAAUGACAAUUACGUCAAGAAGUAGAAGUCUACCGAAGAAGCAAUUGGAGAGAUUUUCUCUCAAACAGGUCAAGUCACAGCCUCAAUCGCCAAUCUCUAUGAGGAGUUCAUGGAUCUAUUUGAUGAACCUGAGAAAGCUGCUCACUCUGAGGCCACGACAACAUACAACAAGAUUGAUCACCUUAAGAAGAUUGUAGAAGAUGCAGCCAAACAAAUGGGAGCAGAAGAACCAGUUCGAAAAGAACCUCCCCAGAGCGGUACUUCGGUCAAGGGGGAGAAUCAAUUUUCUUCAAAUCAACAGGAGACACAUAUCCAGGGGGAGAAUCCAAUCUUUGACGCACCCGAAAGUCCUGUAGCACCCGAAAGCCCAGCUGCACUCGAAAGUCCUGUGGCACCCGAAAGUCUGGUAGCACCCAAAAGCCUAGUUGCACCCGAAAGCCCAGCUGCACUCGAAAGUCCUGUGGCACCCGAAAGUCCGGUAGCACCCAAAAGCCUAGUUGCACCCGAAAGCCUGGUUACACCCGAAAGUCCAAUGACAACCGAAAGUCUGGAUCAGCCUGAAAGCCCAGUCGAAGAAAGAUUUUUUGGUUCACAUCCAAAUGAUUCAUCAUCUGUCGAGGGGGAGAAUUUUGAUAUGCACUAUGACGAUGAUGUUCAAUCAGAGUUGGAAGAAAUGGUAAAUGCUGAAUUGGAUCCAUCCUAUGAUCCAAAUUAUCCUCCUCUCACCAAAUGGACCAGAGAUCAUCCUGUAUCUCAAAUAGUGGGUGAUGCAUCAGAAAAGGUUCUAACUCGAUCACAACUAAAGGUGAAGCAAACUGCUCUAUUCUCCAAAGUAGAAUUAUGCAUGUUUAAUUCUUUCAUCUCCAAAAUACAGCCGAAGACCGUCAAUAUUGCUCUCGAUCAUUCUGAUUGGGUUCAGGCAAUGCAAGACGAACUCAAUGAGUUUGAAAGAAAUAAGGUCUGGAGACUCAUUCCAACACCAAAAGAUGCCUCAGUUUUCAGUCUCAAAUGGGUGUUCAAAAACAAAAUGGACAAAGAGGGAAACGUUAUCCGGAAUAAGGCUCAGCUAGUGGUGAAAGGAUAUUGCCAGAAAGAAGGAAUCGAUUACGAAGAGACAUUCGCUCCGGUAGCAAGGCUAGAAUCCGUUCGAAUAUUUCUUGCUUAUGUCGCACACAAAAAUUUCGAGGUCUACCAGAUGGAUGUGAAGUGUGCGUUGUUAAAGGGGAAACAUGAAGAAACCGUGUACGUUGAGCAACCUCCUGGCUUUGUGAAUGAAAAGCAUCCAGAUCACUGCUACAUCUUAGAUAAGGUUGUUUAUGGUCUGAAACAUGCACCUAGGGCAUGGUAUGAAACAUUAACUAAGUUUUUAAAGGUGUCUAAAUUCAUACAAGGUUCGAUUGACCCAACCUUCUUUCGUAAAAAGGAAGGUAACCACCUUAUGGUCGUUCAAAUCUAUGUCGAUGAUAUCAUCUUGGGCUCAACGAAUCCUAACCUAACAGUUGAAUUCAAAAAGUUGAUGGAGACUAAAUUUGAAAUGAGCUCAAUGGGUCCGAUUAACUUUUUCCUUGGCCUAAAUAUUAAACAGGGACCCGAAGGCAUCUUUAUCAACCAAGAAGCAUAUACGAAGACUCUCCUUGCCAAAUUCGGCAUGAUGGGAGACUCAAAGGUCAAAGUCCCUAUGGCGUUCGGCACCCAGCUCACACCAUCUUUGGAAAAACCGGCAGUCGACAUAAUGCUAUAUCGCCAAAUGAUUGGUUCCCUGAUGUACCUCACAGCUAGCAGGCCCGAUAUAAUGUUUUCAGUAUGCUAUUGUGCCAGGUUUCAAGAAAAUUCUCAUGAACCACACAUGCUGGCAGUGAAGAAUAUAUUCCGGUAUUUGAAGCGAACCACCUCUCUCAGUCUCAGGUGUCCCUCAAACUGAGGUUUCUUCGUUCAAGCCUACUAAGAUGCAGACCUAGGAGGAUGUGGUCUAGAACAGAAAAGCACUACAAGAGGAUGUCAAUUCCUCGACGGGAAGUUGGUGAGAUGGAAAUCUAAGAAACAAACAUGUGUUUCACUGUCUACAGCCGAAGCAGAGUACAUUGCAGCCGCCUCCUGCACAUCCCAAGUCAUUUGGAUCCAAAGCCAACUCCGGGAUUAUGGACUCAAUAUGAAAAAGAUCCUACCAUAUUGCGACUCAGAAAGUGCAAUUAGGAUCUGUCAUAACCCAGUGCAACAUUCCAAGACGAAGCAUAUAACACUGAGGUAUCACUUUAUUAAGGAUCAUGUAGAAGAUGGAAACGUAGAAAUUCACUUUGUUCGAACCAAUGAUCAACUGGCCGACAUCUUCACCAAAGCCCUUCCUGAGGCAAGCUUCAAUAAAAUCCUACAAGGCCUAGGUAUGAUGGAAUCGGAGUCUGUACCAAAAACACCUUCUCAGAACUAAAAGUUGGAAGCGUAAGGAACCGAACGCUCGGUCUAUUUCGGGCUCGGUUCACACUGGAACCGAAAUGAACCGAACACUCGGUCUAUUUCGGCUUCGGUCCCACCGCACUUAUUUUCACUUAUCUCAAAAAGGUGAUAUCUUUGCUUGUAUACUUUUGUACAAUUGGAUUCCAAAAAUCCAAAAAUAAUUUUUUAUGGAACCGAAAUGAACUGAGCGUUCGGUCCAUUUCGGGUUCGGUUCAAAAAAUUUUCGUUUCAGUUUGGGUUGUUUUGUUUUUCUCUUUACAAAAAUAUCUUAUAGCUUGGAUUACGACAUACGUCUUCUAAGUUAUAAAAUAGUUUGUUGGGUCCUAGCCUUAAUAUUUCAUAUUGGGUGUCAUAUUAAGGACUUAAGAUCAACUAUCUUGAAUAUCUCCCAAAAGAUGUCUGGUUUAGACAUUUAUGAUCUUCCCAAAUCUCUUGAAACAAGCUUUCCUAAAUGAAGAUGAUGUCCCAUGGAAAUCAUACUUCUUUCACCUCCUCCAAUUAUUCUCCCUAACCCACAAGUUCUUGAAAAGUUUAAGGUCACUCAAGCCCAAUUGGCAAGGCAAGGUCUAGGUGUGGUCACAUCUUGGAGAUGUAGUCACAUAUUGACAAGCCGGGAGAGUUGGGUGUCAAAGUCUUGAGAAAUUUGGUGGUUCAAUCACUUUCUAAGUCACAUAGUGAGUUCCUUUGGGACACCUAUGAAACAGACUAUGACAAGACCCUUAAUGAUCUUAUCUAUUUGUUAAGAUCAACUUCCUUAAAACUUGAUGGACAUUGACAAUAGUGACAUAGGAAAUCCUGAAAAGCAUUCUCUUCCCAAUGGAAAGGAAUCGGACAUAGUCAACUCGGUUGACCCAAUGGUAAAGAGAAAAGCUAGUCUGUGAUAGUCCCAUGUACCUUUAUCAAAGGGUCCAUAUGUUUAUAUUUCCAAAGGAAGGGACAUUGGUUACGAAUCUGCCAAAUUUACCUAAGGAUGUUGAAGUUAAUAAGUUUGACUCUACUUCAGGUAAAGUCCACUAUCUAACUCUGUUAAGUUUCUAUUAUGAGAUUCUUGAUACAUGUUGUGACUAGGUCACAUGGUGAUGUUUUAAGAAUCAAAGAAAAGUGAAGAAACUUAAAAAAGGAAUAUAUGAUUCCAUUAAUAGCGUUUGAGGAAAAACUGUUGCUUAUAUGAUUCCAUUAAUAACAAGAGUGGAAAUAUGAAAUUGAUUCU